AAGCAUCCUGUUAUUAUAGAUCUUCCACAACCUCCAAUCUAUACAUCUCUGAAAUUUUCUGCUUUACUUCUCAACGAGACACAAACCCUUGACACUACGAAGGUAUUAAAACAAUAUAAUAUAUAUAUUUUAAGAAUUUCAGCCGUGUAUUAUAGUAUAAUAUAUAGCACACAAAGACACAACCAAUUAACUCUUACCUAGGUCUAGUUUUUACUGGUCUAGUUUCCAGUCGAAGGAGGUGAAUUACAGUCGCAAACAACCUCGGUUUCGAUUUCUCUACGAUGGAAACUGCGGUGGCAGCCACAGGCGGCGCACGUUAGCGCUGCCACCGAACCUUCCUCUCCGUUGCUUGCCAUGAACUCACGGCAGCCAUCGACGGCGUAUCCGCCGACCGCCGCCGCAUGGUUCUUCUGACACUCGCCGUAUCUCACACCUCUCACCGUCAGAGACGAAGCCGUCGACGAGCUUCUAGAAGGUUCCUCCGGCGAGGCUCUCCUCAACACCACUUGACGCUUUCUCAUAUGCUUCUUCUUCUCGACUCCUUUGUAAAAUUUAAAUUUGUAAUAAUGUAUUAAUGUGAUGUAUAUUUAAGAAGAUGAUAUAUUUAUAUAUAAAUAAUUUUUAUUACUUUAAAUUUCUACGGUGGGAGAUAGAAAUGAGAGUGAAAGAUCGAGACAAUUACAAGAGUUGUUAACCCUAACCCUAGAUGACAUAUUUAUAGCAUUCCUGAUAGCAAUCGACAACCAACCUUAGAUAUUUUUCAUGUGUAUGUCAGUAUGUAUAUAUAUACAUAUAUGGGUGUGUGUGUAGAUGUACAUGAUCAUGGUGUAUAUUAAUGCAUUAUCACAUAUUCAGAUUCACAUCCGAUAAUCAACUUAUCAAAUAUUUUCAUAUAUUUAGAUGGAUAUACAUAUGCAAAUAUGUUUUUUUUUUCUUAAUUUUAGUUUAUUUGGCGUCCACAACUAUGCAUUCACAUGUGUAUGCAUGUUAUUGAAUGAGUACAUCUUCUUUUUGGGUUAUGAACCUAAAUGUGCUGGAAGUUUCUUUUGCUCAUGUUAUUUAAAAUUCAUUUUACUCAGUCACUAAGUUUCUUCAUCCAGUUGGAAGUCAUUAUGCUGAGUCAGAAAUUGGAACUUGGCUAGGCUUAACUAGAAAAGAGAUUUAUUUGUCUACUGUAACCUAUUGGUUUAGUAAUGUUCAAAAAUAUCCGUAACUCCGGAGAUACCAAGAAGAAAAAAAAUCACAUGCAAUUAUAAGCAUGAGACAUGGAGCCACACCACUAUGUGAGUUAGGCACCCGUCUUUAGUUGAUAGUAUUAUCAUCCUUGAACGUAGUAUUCGGAACCAAAAAAACUGCUGCUAUAUGAAACUUUCAGAAGAGAAAAAACAUUAUCAUAUUCCAAUAUGUAUAUAUUGCGCGCUAGCUUAUAAUCUAUUUUUAUUGUUUUAACUAACUUAUUAUUAGGAGGAUAUACUUAGAAGGAUAUACAUUAGUUAUAUUAGUUAUAGAUAACUCCAAAGAGUCCUUAUCUAAUAAGGUUUAUGUGUUUACGUUGUAUAUAUAAACAGAGCAAUUGCUCAAUGUAAAACAAGUUAACAGUUCAUAAUCAAUAUCUUCUCCUUUCAUGGUAUCAGAGCCAGGUUUUACUACCAAGAAAGAAAUAGUGGAUACGUCUAACACAUCACAAGCAAGGCGUUCUACUCAGUGUUCACAUUGUGGUCGCAGUGGACAUGAAAAGGCAAACUGUUGGCAAUUAGUAGGAUUUCCAGACUGGUGGGAGGAGAGAUCAACAAACAGAGGAUCAUCCAGAGGUCGCGGUCGUGGAGGUUCUAACAGAACUUCAAGUGCGAGAGCUAACACUGCUCAAGCUACAACCUCAAAUUCUUCAUCCUUUCCAGUGUUUACAGAGGAGCAGUUAAGAGCACUUACGCAGAUGAUUAAUGAUAAAACAAAAACGUCUGAUAAGUUAUCUGGUAAGAAGAGACAUGGUGAUCUUAUUCUUGAUACAGGGGCGUCUCAUCAUAUGACAGGAGAUGUCUCAUUACUAAAAGAUGUUACAAGCAUUCCGCCUUGUCCAGUUGGUUUUGCGGAUGGCAAUAGAACCUAUGCUACUCAUGUUGGCAUAUUCAUUCUUACUGCCAAAAUAACACUCUCUAACGUGUUAUAUGUUCCAAAUCUCAAUUGCUCUCUCAUCUCAAUGUCGAAACUACUUCAUCAAACCAACUGCUUUGCUCUUCUAACAGACACUAUUUGUGUUUUACAGGAUCGUUUCACGAGGACGCUGAUUGGAGCAGGUGAAGAGCGAGAUGGGGUUUAUUUCUUCAAAGAUGUCAUGGCUGCGAGAGUCUCCGUUUCUGAUACAGUUGUUAGCUCAGUUCAUCAGGAUCGUUGGCAUCAAAGGCUAGGGCAUCCUUCGUUUUCAGUGUUGUCUUCUUUAAAGUUGUGUUCGCUUUCAAAUAAAUCUGUUGCUCCCCAUCCUUGUGAUACUUGUUUUCGAGCAAAACAGACCAGAGAAAUUUUUUAUGACAGUUCUAAUAAAACUAAAGAUUGUUUUGAGCUUAUACAUUGUGACGUAUGGGGUCCUUAUCGUACCAAAGCCUCAUCAGGAGCAGUUUACUUUCUCACUAUCGUAGACGAUUACUCUCGUUCAGUAUGGACAUAUCUACUUCUUGAGAAGUCUGAAGUUCGUAUGGUGCUUCAGAAUUUUGUCACGAUGGCGCUUAAACAGUUUACUAAAGAGGUUAAGAUGGUAAGAAGUGACAACGGCACAGAGUUUAUGUGUCUAUCAUCUUACUUCAGAGAGAAUGGAAUACUUCAUCAGACCUCUUGUGUUGCUACACCACAGCAGAACGGACGUGUUGAGAGAAAACAUCGCCAUAUUCUGAAUGUAGCCAGAGCUCUGUUAUUCCAAGCAAGUCUACCUGUAAAAUUUUGGGGUGAAGCUAUACUUACAGCAUCACAUCUUAUCAAUCGCACGCCAUCAUCUGUUCUUAAAGGAAAAUCUCCAUAUGAAAUACUUUAUGGCGAAAUACCGAAUUAUGAUCAUCUGAAAGUCUUCGGAUGCUUGUGUUAUGUGCAUCUCAAGUUAAGAGAUAAGAACAAGUUCAGUCCAAGAAGCGCGAAGUGUAUCUUUGUAGGUUAUCCUUUUGGUCAAAAGGGAUGGAAAGUUUAUGAUCUGGAAAAGAAGGAGUUCUUUAUCUCCAGAGAUGUUAUCUUCCAUGAAACAGAGUUUCCUUUAGCUUCCAUAAAUGUUGUCAAGUCAUCUACAUCUCAACCAAUGCCUCAGUUGUCUAUAGCGAGUGAUGAUGACUGGGAAAUUUCAAACGCUCCCAUCUCCAGUGAAAGGGGGAGCUUAGAACAGUCUGACGUUUCUCCAGUGGAAGGAGAACAAAUACAAGUUCAGUCUCAAGAGUCAGAAGUAUCGGAACCAGCUAUACCUUCAGUAGACCAGCCCCUGUUACAAAAUCAGUCACAGGAACCAGUAACCUCUGAUCAAACUGAUACUCCAGACUCUAUUGUGGUAAAUGAAUUAAAUGAGUCCACAGAACAGUUAGGUAGAGGACAAAGAACACGUGAACAGUCUACUAAACUCAGAGACUUCGUACUAUACAACGCUCAGUGUGCUCAAGAAACCCCUCUCGCUCACGCAUCUACUCCAUCAACGUCGUCAAGAAACAAUCCAGGUAACACACCCUACCCGCUGGAUAAAUAUAUUACUGACAUGAAUUUUUCAGCAACACACAAGGCGUUCCUAGCUGCUGUUACUGCUGGUGUUGAACCAAAAAGAUAUUCUGAUGCGAUUAAAGAGAAAGUGUGGAGGGAUGCAAUGAAGCAUGAGGUCGUUGCACAUGAAGAACUAGGCACAUGGGACAUUGCCACCUUACCUCCUGGCAAAAAGGCUAUUAGUUCUAAGUGGGUUCAUCGCAUAAAGUACAACGCCAAUGGAAGCAUAGAAAGACACAAAUCCCGGCUAGUUGCGUGUGGAAACAGACAGGUCGAAGGUGAUGAUUAUGAAGAAACAUUUGCUCCUGUUGUAAAGAUGUGUACUGUGCGUGGUCUUCUUGCCAUUGCUGCAGCAAAAGGUUGGGAAGUUCAUCAAAUGGACGUCCACAACGCGUUUCUUCAUGGUGAUCUUGAGGAGGAGGUUUAUAUGAAAUUACCACCUGGCUUCACUCAUUCUGAUCCAAACAAAGUUUGUCGUCUGCGCAAAGCAAUCUAUGGUCUAAAACAAGCACCUCGGUGCUGGUAUGCCAAGUUAUCUAACGCUUUGAUAGAGUUUGGUUGUGUGCAGUCUUAUGAAGACUACUCAUUGUUUAUGUACACAAAAGGAGAGAAAGAAGUCCGCGUGCUAGUUUACGUUGAUGAUUUAGUCAUCGCCAGUAAUGAUCUUGAGUUACUUGAUCAGUUUAAAGAAUAUGUGAGUAAAUGUUUCCGUAUGAAGGAUCUUGGCAAACUCAAGUAUUUCUUAGGAAUUGAAGUCGCUAGAGCUCCUGAAGGAAUCUUCUUGUCUCAACGAAAAUACGCGUUAGACAUUGUCACUGAUUGCGGUCUUCUAGGAGCCAAACCAGCUUCAACUCCACUUGAGGCUAAUCAUCAUCUUGCUACUGAUAAAGGUCCUCUGUAUUCGGAUCCUAAGCAGUAUAGACGUCUCGUUGGGCGUCUUGUGUAUCUCUCGAUCACACGACCUGAACUUGGAUACUCUAUUCAUCUGUUGUCACAAUUUAUGAAAGCUCCACAUCAAGUUCAUUGGGAAGCAGCUCUACGUGUUGUUCGUUUCUUGAAAGGAAGUCCAGGUCAAGGAAUUCUUAUGCGUUCAGACAGCAAUCUUGAGCUAUCAGUAUAUGUUGAUGCAGAUUGGAGCACUUGUCCGAAAACUAGACGUUCAUUAAGUGCUUAUGUGGUAUUUCUUGGAGGAUGUCCUAUUUCGUGGAAAACUAAGAAACAAAGGACUGUGUCGCAUUCUUCUGCCGAAGCUGAGUAUAGGGCGAUGGCGGCAGCUACGAAAGAGAUGAAAUGGGUCGUUCCACUCGUUAAGGAUCUUGGUCUUAAGGUUAAUAAACCAGUUCUCUUCUACUGUGACAGUAAGGCUGCGUUACAUAUUGCAGCAAAUCCAGUUUUCCAUGAAAGAACCAAACAUAUUGAAAGAGAUUGUCAUUGUGUUCGUGAUGCUAUCAAGGCUAAGCUCAUUUCUACACAACAUGUUCGUACAAAAGAUCAAAUUGCUGACAUUCUCACCAAGGCAUUAGGACGUUCUCAGUUUGAAUUUUUAUCAUCCAAGUUGGGUGUUCAGGAUCUUCACUCUCCAACUUGAGGGGGAGUAUUAGGAGGAUAUACUUAGAAGGAUAUACAUUAGUUAUAUUAGUUAUAGAUAACUCCAAAGAGUCCUUAUCUAAUAAGGUUUAUGUGUUUACGUUGUAUAUAUAAACAGAGCAAUUGCUCAAUGUAAAACAAGUUAACAGUUCAUAAUCAAUAUCUUCUCCUUUCACUUAUCAAUGAUCAUAACAAUAAGCAAUAGAAUAAUGUAAUAUAUAAAGAAGUGGGUGCUGAUACAGAUUGUAACAAUUAAUAUAUCAUGAAAGCAAAAUUAAAUUACGUUUGCAAGUGCGUGAAUGAAUCUUUUGUUCAAUCCUGCUAGAAAACCCUAAAAUGAUGAGAAAGCUUUUCUUUAAGACCAAACAAAGUGAUUGGUUUUAAAAGGAAGAAAACAGCUAAGCUUGUCUUUUAAGACCUAAUAUGUACUGUGGUGGCCCCUUAACCCUCAUCCCCUUUAAUCCCAUGUUUUGCUUCUACUAUAUUCUCUAAUUCAUUUUGUUUAUUAUAAUUACACGUAUGGUUACGAAAAUCAUUUAUACAUAUCGUAAAGAAUAUGAAUUAGUAUCCAGCUCGAGAGUAUAAAUCUAUGCAUAGACAAAAAAGAACUGUUUAUGUCGGAUACGUGAUAUUGUGAUCCACUUGGUUUCUACCCGAUCAAAUGUACGGACUUAAACUCUUAGAUUUCAACUUUUGUUGUAAUCUAAGUAACAAUCAAUAUGUUUAGAUUGUGUGAUGAAAAUGCAUGAACUAAGAUAGAAAUGUGUGUAUAAAUGUAUAUACAUUUGGACCUAAAAACGUGGGACUGAUAAGUUGGGCUACCAAACUUACUAUGUACAUCAUGAGGCAACGCAAUCCUUCACGAUCUUUUGCUACUUUGCAAUUACGUCUUGAUAUUUUCAAUUACACGUGCAUACAUUCAUUCGUAUUUCGGUUAGACAUCAAACGGUCUUUAUUCAUGUGUUCCAUCAAUAUCGGAUAAUUAGAAAAUAAAUAUUUUGAUAUUUUCUUCUUCGAGAUUUGAUAUAAAUAUAUUAACCUUUGAAUUUUACGCAAGUCAUGAGAUAUUAUUUUACCAAAAAAAAAAAAGUCAUGAGAUAUUAUCCGAAUAUCAUCGUAUUAACUGAGAUGACAUCAUUGACAUGUAUCAUUCAUCUAAGUAAAAAGACGUGUAUAUAUAGUGUCUGUGUGUCUUCGAUUGAUUGUGAGAUAAAAAUGUCAAAUAACACUGAUCAUAGUUUCCUUGUUUCAACUUUCAUCUUACUGUUGGUGGAAUACUGAUUAGAAUAGACGCACUCAAUACAAUGCUCACUUCACAUCUGCAAGUUCCGAGAUUCAUCGUUCUGUCAUAUUUUUAUAAUUUAUAUUAAGACAUAUAUAAUGCAUGGGUGUAGAUAAAUGUAUAAAGCAUUUGCAGACAAUGUACAACCAAUUUUAUUUUGAUUUGAUAAGAUUGUUUCUGUCUAACGACAAUUAGGAGUCGUACCAGACAUAUAUGCGCCAUAAGUUAGUUAUAUAAUUAUAGGCCAACAGAACCUGUUUGUAGUUUUACUUGAUAGUUUAUACAGGAAUAACUAAAAGUUCCAUGGCAAAAAAUCUGCAUGGUUCCUUUUUACUAUUAUUGGUGCGGAUUAGGAUUUAAACAAUAUACAAUGUUCUUAUAGUCGGGUCACUUACUUUAAAUAAUAGAGUUAAUAAUCUAAUAAUCAGUGUUAAAAACCAUUUCCCCAUUUGGAAACUAAUAUGUCCACACAAGUCAGAAAAAAAAAAGAUAAAACCUUCAUGAUCGAAAGUAUUCAAACGCCUUACUAACCGUGCUUUGUGUUAGUAGUUUAGCACAAAGAUUGAUUCUGUUGUACUCUUAUUUCGGUUUCCGUUGAAAAAUACUUUACGCUAUGCCAUCAAAUAUUAGCAAAUACUGGUGGUCUUAGAUCUAAAAAGAGAUUAGGAUCUGACUGGAACUCCGUCUAGUUAUCAAAAAAAUGUUAAAAGAGGGUUAGUGGAGGCUGAAUUUAUAUAAGUAAAGUAAAAUUACAAUAUAUUAAUGGCAAAGACAAAAGUGGCUAGUGGAGUAAUGAUGGUUAUUGAUUUAUUGAUUUAUGAUAAGGAGAGUAGAUAGAGAUUUAAAGCAACGAGAGAUUAUGUUUCUCAACAACCCAACUCUCAUUCCCCAGCUUCCAUUAGUGAUGUGUAAUCUUUGACUACUCAACGGUCAAUCUUAUUUAUUUAUUUAGGAGGUACUAACCUCCUUGCGGCUAAACAAUUUGUAUAGGAAGUGCGAGUUUAAAAAAUUGACUGCAGUUUUAAUAUUUUUGUAAGAUAGUUGCAUUAGGACCCUGUCUGAAUGUUGAUUCCAUUAAGAAUGAAAAGAAACCCUGAUUUUUGAGUUUCUGUGAAGGAACCUCUUUCUUUCUUCAAAUUUUGACGAAUGUGUUUUCACUAUUUGGCAAAUGUUAGAAAUUCCACUUGUUCUUAAAUUAGUUUUCAAAAGUUAAAAAUAAGACAGACAGUUUAGCCAUUAGAAGAUUAGCACCUUGACCUGAUCUAGGUCGCAUGUGGGGUGUUACCAAUUCACUCUCAAGAUACAUUGAAAAAAUACUUCAAAAUUUUUCUAACCUUUUUUUUUGUAAAUUUUUUUUCUAACCUUUUAAAAUUAAGAAUUAAAGCACAUCACAUGAUGCAGUUGUUCUCUAAACAUUCACCUAAAUAUUUUCGAGAAGUUUUUGACUUGAGCGUCCGAAUAUCCUUAUAAGGCAUACUUUGCCUCUAGUGUCCCGAGCCAUCAUGGAUGUUUUCUCAGUGGUGCAUGAACAAUAUUUGUUACUAUAUUUUUGUCAUAUUAAUUGGAUCUGGUACUGCAAGCAUUUUACUUACUUAUAUGAGUUUGAUAGAUUUUGUUUCUGAAAUCUUUCAUUUAUAUGAUGCAAGCUCCUCAAAUGUUUUGUUUUCUUGAUCAUGUUUUUUUAUCAAGUUCAUGUUUUUUUAUAUUUAUCUAUUGAGGAAUUGAGUUACGUAUAGAUAACCAGAAGCUUUUUGAAUAAUCAUUUCUAUAUUUAAAAAGUAUUAUCUCUAUAUAUUUGCAUUAACUAAUAGCCACAUCUUUAAAUUAUGUCCUCUUCGUAGUUUCAUUUACGUUAUUUAAUUAUUAAUGCAAACAUAUUAUUUUUAUGAUAGAUUCUUAGAAUUUAGAUUUGAUCAUGAUUCAUGAGAACGAUGGAAUAGAAGAAAAAACAAAUAAGCUAAACAGAGUCACGAGUCAUGGAUACGAAGAGUACAAUUAAAUUUGGAUAAACUCCAAAACAUUACAAAAACAUUUGGAAUAUUUUUUUUAUUUUUCGAUUUGACGUAGCUUGGAAUUAAUUACAAGACUGGAAUCUAAAUAAUUUAACUUUCUAAUGAAUGAGCGAGAAAGAAAGGCAACUUGUCAACCUCUAAUCCUCCUCUGCAUAUUAUAUAAUUAGGGUUUUGGACCACGCACGGCACUAGUAAGAAUCAAUAUUCAGAACGAUGUUCAUUAUACCCCAAUACUCAUAAAUAUGUUGAUGAUGAUGAAUGUCAUAUUUUUUCUCCAUCAAGCUAACACCUAUUAAGAACUAAAAUUAACCAGUUAGAAAAGAAAACCACCCAUGUUAUUUUUUUUUGAACAUAAAACCACCCAUGUUAUUGUGGUCAUAUUGUAGAGAAUUCAGCUUUUUGCGAAAGUUAGAACAUCAGUCUUUCCGUGAUUUCAAUCAUGGUUUUAAAUUUUGAAACCAUCCUUUGAAAAAAUGCCACAAAUAUAUUAAUAGAUUAUAAUUAAUAAACUUCAAAAAUAGACAAAUUAGAAAUAAAAUUUUGUUAAUAUCUAAACUAAUAAAUUUUACAAAAUUAAUUUAGAAUAUAUUAAGUACAAUCAACAUUUUUUUAUUUCAAAGUUUUUUUAUUAAUACAUAUAAGAUUACAAAGAUAUAUUAUUUAUUAUGUAUAUAAAGGGCCAAAUUUGAAUAAAAAUGCUUUAAGCCACCAAAAUAUUAGGGAAGAGACUAUUCACACAUGUGAACAAAAAAAAAAUCCAUGCUAAGAAUUUAUAAAUGUUGUUCAAUCCAUUAAUGAACAAAAUAGUGAACCUUGUAACAAUACAAAACUUAAUUUUUAGAUUUAUGGGGAAAUUUCAUUUUUACAAAUUUUUUUUGGUAUUAUAAUUUAUGUUUACCUUCAUGAAAAAGAUAUUUUCACAAAUACCUUAUUCAUUAAAGAGUCAAAAGAAAAUACAUUUACUUUAUGGGUAUAUAAAUAUAAAUAAAUAGUAAAAUAAAAUAAAAUACAAUAAUUUUAUAUGGUUUUCAACUUAUACGUUCUCAAAUUCAAACUUUUAUAUAAAGAAUUUGAAAAUAUUUUUUUCUUCAAAUUUUAAUUUUGAAAUUUGAAAUUAUUUUUGAAACUAUUUUAAAUUUUUUUAGAUAUUUAUAUAUAUAUUUAUUAAAAUUCUACACCUCACAUUGCAAUACUUCACUUCUCGAAUCUAAACUUUAAGUCUGUAUUAAUUAACCUAUGGUUAUAAAUGUGUCUAUUUACCUUUUUAAAAUAAAAAUAAAUAUGGUUAAAAUAGACAUGAAAAAUGAUAUUAGGAAUGUGGUGAUUUUGACAAUUUCUCUGGAUUUAUCCAAAAUAGGUGGGAGUGAGUCUUGGGAUCAUCCAACACUCCUCUGCCAUUUGACUAAAAUCAUCAAAAACUAAACUUUCCACUUUGUUUAGAUUUCAAGUCUUAAACGCAUCUUGGUUAAAUUUAUUUUCGUGCCUCUUGUUAUUGCUUCACUUGGCUUUCGUCAUUAACUUGACUUGUAUCCACUUACUUCUGCUUCUAAUAUAUACAUGAUGUCCAUUUUAAAUAGGAUGUACAAAAGCAUUCUAAUGUUUGAUGUUUGGGGAAUGUCUGUGUUUAUCACAUUGUUGAUAUCAUUAUCCAUGUUUAUUUUCACUAAAUAGAUAUUUUCAAAAAUAUAUUUUUAUUAAGAGGUAAAAAAACUCUUAUAUCAUUUAUAUAUAUAUAAUAAAUAAUUAUUUAAAUAAAUAAAUAAUAAAAUAAAAUAAUAAAAUAAUAAUUUUUAUAGUUUUCAAAAUUUGCCUUUUUAAAUUCAAACUUUUGAUAAAAAAAUUUUUGAAUUUUCUUUCUCGGUUCUUUUUCAAAUUCAAAAAUUCUUAUUGAAACUUUUUUUUUUAAUUAUUUUUAAAUAUUUAUUAAAAUCUAAAUUUUAUAUUCCAAAAAUCCUAUUCCACCUCUCGAUUCUAAACUUUAAAUUUUGAUUAUUUAACUAUAAGAUUAUAAGUGUUUUUCAAAGUGACGGUAAAAAUGAUUAAGAUAAACAUGAAAAAUUGUAUUAGGAAUAUGAUAUUUUAGACAAUUUUCUAUUUUGAAUCAAAUUAAUAUCAGUACCAAAAUGUUAGUAAUCGGUAUUGGGAGUUAAACCACCGCCUACCUUCUUAAGAGAUCUUGUCCCUCAAGCUUGUUGUUUUCUCCACCAGCAGAGAUCUACAGUCUCCUCCGCUUUUUGCCUCUGGAUUGGUCGAUUACGGAUUUCUCUUAUUUUUGUGAUGGUCGGGGACGGGACGCCUAACUGCCUCCGCAUGUUAUUCGGUCAAGUAUCCUCCGAGAUUAUCUCCGUUGCUCGCUUCUUCCUUGACUAUUUUUCUUGGAGGUUCGUGAAUUAGCUCAGUCGGUACUGGUUGCUAAGUGUUAACGGCUUUUCUACUCCUUUAGCUUUAGUCUAAGUUCUUGGAUUGAGAUUAAUCAGACUUAAGUAUUGUGUUUAAGAAUAUUUUUAUCUGUUUGGGGGAUUUUUAGAUAGUCCUUUACUAUUUGUAGCAGAUUUUAAUUCAGGUUUACUUGUAUCACAAUGCCAUUUUAUGAAAUGAAUUUAGAAUUUGACAAAAAAAAUGUUAGUAACCUGUUUUGGUUGUAUAAGAGAAUUAGUAUUUUUUGUGCCCCGAGUUCAAAUAACAUUUAAUACAGAACAAUACCUUUCAGAUAAAAAUAUUUAAAAGCUGACUUCAGAACUAAGAGAAAUUGUGGACCCUAUAUCCUAAACUGAAAUAUUUUUUUUUUUGAUCAAACAACUACUUCAUUCAUAAUAAAAGGUUUUACAUUCCAUGGGAGGAGGAAGAGUUUAGCAAUAGAAUGACUGAUUUUGCCACAUAAUCAGCCAAAACAUUAUUCAACCUUGGAACAUACUCAAAAGAAACAGCAAUAAAAGUAGACCUAAAGUGGUAGAUGUCAAACAAAAUCCCAUAUAGCGCCGGCGUAGAGCUUCCUUUCUUCAGCAUCUUAACGAGAGAGAGGGAUUCAGACCGGAUCAAUAGAGCUUUUACAUUUGACGUAGCGGCAUACAUAACCGUCGAACGGAUGGCGAGGGCCUCAACCAUUAGCGCCGUGGAAACAGAGCGAUGUGAGUCGCUAAAGAAGUCCAGCUUUGGGACAUGUCUUGGACCUGAAAAAACACAUCCAACGCCACAAUUACGAGUACUAACUUUCCAGGCUGCAUCGACGUUGCAUAUGAUCACGUCGGGUGAGGGAGAUAACUUAAACUGAAAUAUUUAAAAGCUAACUUCGAAUAUGUAAGAGACUAUACGGAGCUUCAACUGUUACAAAAAUAAUAAUAUUAAUUCUGUAUCACUUAUAUAGAUUGAAUUAAGUUAACUGUGUGAUAUGCACUUUUCCAAUGAUCCAUAAGAUAUUUAGAACUAAACUCUCUUGUCAAAUAUAUGGAGUUGGCAAAUAACAUAUUGUACACCUUAUAUAUGGGAUGUUCUUAAUUAACUUUAGGUAGUCAAUCAACAUUUUAGCGUCUAGUUUAAUUUAGGCACUCUGUUACUAAAUAAUUAAUAUCUCAGUCGUGAGAAAGCAAGAAAGAUCACUACGCUAAAUAGAAGCAAGAGGUUGGGCUUUGAGACCUCAUGCAUGAACGCACAUGAUUCUUCAGUUCCUUUUAACACUUUUUCUUCUUAUUGGGUUUAAAGUCUAACACGGGCCUAAGACCAAGCUCACCAACUAUUCACAAUUCACACACACACACACACAGACUUGCUUUUUUUUGGUCGAAACACAGACUUGCUUAUGUGUUAUUUUAUUUUACCAACUUAUAAUGAUCCAAAAGAAUGUUUUUAUGUUUGAAAUUUUAUUUAUAGAUGUAGUGUUUGAACCGUUUGCAAGAACUAAACUACCUGAUAGAAAAAACACUAAUACAUUGCGCGGUCUACACUGAACUUUAAUUGUGUAUCUUAAGAAUGCAAAUUAGUCGGGUCUUAGAGAUGAGUUUUUAUGUCCUCAAAAAGAUUUGCAGAAUUUUUUUCGAAGUGACUGAAUUCAACCAAAAACCCGUUUGCGAAAACCUAACCAUCAUACUUUUGCUUAAUGGCAAAUAGUCAUAAACAUCUCAGAUUACGCAGUGGAACGCGCCGUUCCAGACCCAACGGACGUGUACAUAUGAUAUACCUAUUUUCUUUUCUCUUCCAAAUAUGUGUUUGUUUUCUAACCAUCUAUAUAUUUAUCAGCAUAUUGAACUAAGUGUUCCAAAGUUUCUGUACAUGUUUGCUAACUAUUCAAAAAAUUUACCAUGCACCUUGAAUUUGAACUGGAUGCGAGCUAUUUUUUGGUUACAAUCAAUCAUAUACGCACAUACUAUUAUAUGUAAUUUUUAUAUAUAAUGCACAAGCAAAAUACUGGUGAACCAGGUAUAUAUUUAUGCUUGCUGUUUUAAUUUUAAAUCAACAAAAGAUAAAAUAAAACGGCUGAUGAGAAUUAAAUCAAAAGCCAAGAAGUUGCAUACGGUUCUUGCCGUACAUUAGCUUUACAGCAAAGGAGCUGCUGCUUCUUGUGCCUCUAUAUGAUUUUCACUAUUUCUUGUUUGGAUCAAAAAUUUCAUGAUAAAUUUUCUCUAUACGAGAUUAGUGGGACAAAUACAAUGUAUUAACUUAAAAAAUUACAAUGUAUAAACUUAUGUCAUAUUAAUUCAUUUGGAAAUAGUCGGUUAGGCUGAUUGAACCAUAAUCCAACAAACAAUAACACUAGCUCAAUUUAAUCUCCGGUUCAAUUUUUGUUAAACAUGAUUCCACUGUUUUUUUACCGUCGAACGACCACGACCGUAAAACCAAAGGAGAUGGUAAAUUAACGGUGAAAUUGACUUCUGUAGAACUUAACUUAGUAACUAUGUGGUGUAGGACCGUAGGUAAGUCACAAGUUACAACACAUAACUCACAAGGUCACACAAGAUUGAAAGUCAAACUUUAAUUCUUCAUCACUUUCAAUCCAUCCCGUUUUAAAAUACUUUUAUAGCUUGUCGGCCCCAUUUAUUUCAAGCAAUAAAUAUAUCAUUUAAUUUUCUUUACUAGUAGUACUAUUUUCUUUAUCAAUAGGUGUAUCAAAUUCACCAAUAGUAAGCCUGUCUUUAAAUCUACGUUUUUAUUUUGAUGAGCGGCGCCAUUUGACACUCUAAACCAAGUGUAGUGUACUUUUCUGCUAAUAAAAGGGCAAGUUGGAACUUGCAAGUAUUGAUUGUUUACUAGUAAUCGUUUUAUUAUUCUAUAGGAAUAGUUCUUAUCUACUCACUACACAUAGAGCGCAUCUUAUACUGAAUUAGCUUACUAAUCCCGAUAUUAGUAAACAAUUUAACAAGUUGGUAAGUUUUUUUUUUGUCAUUUCAGUUUAGGUAUAUAAAUAUAUUGGCGUUUAUACAUACAAUUUGGACAUUUCAAAGACUCAAAUAUAACAUAGUAAAAACAAUGAUUCAAUUAUAACAUUUAGUAAACUGAAAAUAUAGAUAUGGAAUUUUACGCCAAUACUAAAACAUUGGGUGAGCAAUAUUUUACCCCUUUGGAAUUCAUAAGGCCAUUUGUAAAACAACGCCCCCAUAAUAAUUGUAAUUACCGAGGGAAAUUAAAUAAAAUUAUUAAUAUUAGCUCAGGUUAUCUAAGCUAGUUAAUUCGGAAAGCCAAAAAUAAACAAAUUAUAAAAAGAAAAAGAGAUGAUGAUCCUAAAAUUAGAACCAUCUGAUUAGGCAAAUUCUUCAGAAGAAAUUAGGGUUUUCAUCCAACACAAUAUCACCAAUCGGUCCACCAGAAUCCUCAAACAGCCACUUUUCAAACAAAGACCAUUGACUUUGGUUACUGCAUCCAGUUAUGUCUGGUUUGGUCUCAUGAUCCGGUGAUACUCCAGCCUGAUGAUAUGAUGAGUCACAAUCUUUCAAGUGAUCAAACCCCGAAAAUGACUGGAAUGCCCCUGCACAGUCCUCGACAUCACUCUUGAUCACAUCUUUUGUCUCAGAAUCUGGAGAAACCAUUAAAUCUGAAGAGUUCGGAAUCUUCGGAGAGUUCUUCACCCACCCUUUGAGCAAUUUUGCUAUAUUCUCGGUGCUCGAGGCAUAAGCGGUAGAUGUUUCUUGCGUCCUAAGAAACCUGCAAGCUGAGGAAGUAGAACGUCUUGAUUCAGCAGAAGAAGAUGUUGUGGCCGUGGUGGCAAAUGUAGAGGUAAUGAUUGGCGCCACAGCAGGAGACAAAGCUUCAGAGAGAGCCUUCUUCGCCAAGUGAAUAUCAGUUUGAAGCCUUCUUUCCCAUUGGCCUCUUGAGAUGUUUGAGUUGGAGUUAGCAGAAGAAGACGAUGGAGAAGAAGAGAGGUCUCUUGAUUGAUCAAAAUCUUGAUGAGAAUCUUGAUUGGCUUUGUUGAGUUUCUUCUUCAAAUGAGUGUUCCAAUAGUUCUUAAUGUCAUUAUCGGUCCUUUGUGGAAGAUAUGAUGCAAUUGCAGCCCAUCUACACCAAAUAUUAAAUGCCCUCUAUUAUUUUUUUUCCUUCGUUUAAACUCAAAAAAUUUGCGGAAAACAAAAUUAGAGAAAUCAUCUUUUGAUUUAGGAGUGAAUAAUUAAAUUUACCUAUUGCCUAAUAGGGCUUGGAGAUGGACAAUCAUCUUUUCUUCAUGUUCUGUGAAGUUGCCUCUUUUGAUUCCUGGCCUUAAAUAGUUUGUCCAUCUAAGCCUACAACUCUUGCUGCAUCUAAGCAAUCCUAAAUUUCCAAGAAAAAAUGUUCAUAAAGGUUAAACAAUGUUUAAAACCAAUGAGUAGAGACUUGACCUUUACAUACAUAUAUAUAUAUAUAACAAGAACAAGAGCUCAUGCAUUAAAGCUCGAUCUUAAAUUCAUUAACCAAAACGGCAAAACCCUAGCUAAUUUAUUCCAAAUAUGGUUUUGGUUACGAUUAUUUCACAAUCAAACCCAUUUGGAGAACAGUGUAUAGUUAACCAAAUUUAAUCCAUACCCAUUUUGGUUCCUUGUCUACAUAUAUACAUAUAAACCUUGAGAGAUGAUUUAAUAUCUAUGUAAAUAACGAAAGAGAUGAUGAAUGAAGAUUGGCAUACCAGUAUUGGUCGGAACGGCUCUCCAAUUACCAGGACCAUGUUCUUGGAUGUAAGUAACUAAAAUGAUAUCUUCUUCAGGAGUCCAUGGCCCUUUCUUCACUCCUCCUUUGUCACAACAAGGAGGUCUCACCAUUAUCUUGAGCUCUCUUAAUCUAAUUAAAAAUCACUCCCUUUAAACUUUUUCCCUCUCUUAGUUUCCGACUACAACAACUCUUUGCCAAGAAAAUAGAAGAAAAUUGGAAUAACUUUACUUGUUGAUAAGUCACAGUACUCUUAAGCUCACUAAUUAGUACUCUUGACUUUGGAUGUAUCUAAUGGUUAAGCUUGGCGACAAAGGUCUAUGUCCACCUUCUUCUUCUAUGUAUAUAUAAAUAGAAAGAGAGAGUGCUGACCCCUCUUUGGUCUCUCAAAAUUGAGUAUUUAAUCUAAUAAAUAUAAAAUAAAUUAAAAUAAAAUGUGUAAAGCAUUAACUACAAAAGUGGAGGUAAAGCCUCCAAAGUCAGCUGUGUAGCGAAAGUAAAAGUCUCUACCCUCCACACAAAACCGCGUGGCAUUCAAUGUGGGCUUGCUCCUUUCAAAAACCCUAAUAUCAAAAAAAAUAUUAUUAUUUGGGUUAUGUUAUUUAAAAUAACGGGAACAUGCAUGAUAAUGAUAUGUGAGAUGAUAUCUCCCUCUCUAGCUUUUGAUUUAUUGCUAUGAUAAUUUUAAGAAUUGAAUAGUGGCUAUUGCAUUUAUGUGUAAUGCAUAGGCUUUGUUAAUAAUAGAAAUUGACGAAAGGGUCUUUUGACGAACGAGAUUUUCUCUGCGUCAUGAUUUGCUGUUUCGGUGUUCCAUGAAAUGAAUUGAUAUUCUUUUAAAAAAGAAUUUUUUUUGCUGUUUCGGAUAGAACCAGUGGGUCUUUGGCGUUUGUCAAAUUACAUGAUGGUCUACGUCAUGACUUCUCUAUAUAUAAUGUUUGUAUAUCCAUGAUAAUAUAUCAAAAUAUGAUUUUGUAUGUUUUAUUCGGGUAUGGUUCGCGAUUGGUAUUAGUGGACCACAUCUGGAUUUUUGGUAAACAUAGUUUUAGAUGAAAUUAAUUGUACGUUACAUAUGUCGUUAUCGUAGGUGGUGUAAAGAGAUUAAUUAGAGAUAUUAGUAUGAGAAUUUGGCAUAAGAUAAUGGAGAUUUCUGGAUUUGAUAGACACAAGUCAUACAACCAUAUCUAUUUAUGUGAACAUGUGUAUGUAUGUAUAUAUGUCAACAAAUAGUUAAAAAGAUGAGAUCAAUUUGAUUUUCACGAGGCCGGAAGAAAAGGAAGAAGAAGAGACACGGGACUCCUUCAAUUUCGUCUCUUUUGUCAAUGCAUGUUGUGCUAUGUCUAUUUAUUUUACGCAGGUAGGUUUUCUUUUUUAAUAACAAGUGUGAAAUUUCAUUUUGUCUUUUUACCGAUUAUGUACGAUUAUAAAACUUUUUUUUUAUUGUGUUAACAGGCUGUUUAUCAACCAUUUAGAUUUAAAUUGCAUAGUUGCGUUAUCAACUCAAAGACGUCAAUACAUGCAUUAAAACCAAAAAAAACAACUCAUAUAACACGAAUCCAACUUUCUUUUAAAGUAAUACGAAUUUUCGACGGCCAUAGAAACGGGAGAUAUGUACUUUAUAUGAUAUAUUGUAGAUUUGAUAUUUUUACUAUAUAUCUCACAUAACGCAUUAAAAGUGUAGGGAUGAAUCAUAAUAAGCAUGGAGGUGGAAUAUCAGAGGCAUAAUAUUCUUAUAAAUGCAUAUAUAUGUUUUGCUAUUAUUAAAUGACGACUCAAUAACAUGGAAUGCAUGUGUGAUGUAUGGAUGGUGCUUGUGAUGUAGGGACGGGCAAAGCACAUUUUCCAGCGUAAAUACCUAUUUUAAUUAUUAGAUAGAUAAAAUAAAUAAAAAGAGAGAAAAUUAUAAUUUAUAAGCAUAAAAAAUAAAUAUUAGGUAUCUAUACUAUUAUUUGCCAAUAUUAAAAACAGAAAACUAAAAUAAUAUUUGCAAUGAAGAGAAAUAAAAGCACUGCAAGCGCACAUGCAGUAAUACAUAAGAACAAAUGCAUAGUUCAGUCGAUAUUUAUUAUCAGCAAGUGACAGUGCAUGCGAUCGGUACCAUUUUCCUUUUAACCAAAACGAAUCGAGAACCGCACUUAACCGGUUGUUAGGUUUGGUUAUCAAGUUGUUAAACUACCGAGUUAAGGCUAUUGAAUGUUUGGGCCUGGUGAUCAAAUAACGGGCCUUAUUUUAUAAACUGGGACCCAUUAAUUGAAGUCAUCUUCUCAGAUAUUCCGGCCAUCUGGUCAAGUCUUAAUGGUAUCAAGAAGACUAGCCGUUGGCACGUCAAGUAUAUACCCUUAUCUGCCAAUUUGAUUGUUAGUGUAGUGCCAUUCAAAAAAAGUUAAAGGGUAUAUAUAAAAAGUAACAAUAUAAUUUUAAAGUUAAUAAUUUUAUUUAAAUAUUUUUUUUCUUUUUAAAUGAUAGGAUAUAAAUUUAGAAAUAUAAUGAAAAUUUAAAGUUUUAAAUUCUAAUUUAUAUUUUUUUAUAACGAUUUUUUUAAAACUCGGACAAUCUUUAAUUCGUUAUGCCAACAGAUGCUUUUACACGACUCAGAAAAUUGUUAUUCUUCUUAUUAAUUUUGAGUACAUAGAAACAAAAAAAGAGUGAAUAGAACAAACUUAUAAAUAGUAGUUAUUAUGAAGUAUUAAUGUUCAAAAAUUCUUCUUAAAUAGUUUAUGCCGUUUAAACCGCCUUAUUCAUGCAGAUUUUAUGACUUCUUUUUUUGCUAAAUGGUAAAUAUCAUUAAAAAGAUAAUGAAGAUCCGGUUACAAGUUAAUGAAACCAAGAUAUGCUUUUCAGCCAAUCAGGUUUAAGGGGUUGCAAAAAGUUUAAAAAAACCCCAAAGAACCUACAGAAUUAACAUCAUGCAACCCAUACAAUGGUUUACGCGAAGCUAAUACAAUAUUAUAGCACAAAAGACAACAUUUUGGGUUCCCAUACCAAAGCGCUUCUUGUUCAUCUGUAACAAAACAGAGAACAAGAGAAUAACCUGAAGGCGAGAUUGAUCGAGCCUCACCGAAGUGGCUCCUAGCAGGCAUCGACGGAAGCGCCUGGCUCACGCCCCGGAGCUCCGCAGGAGGAGGACGCCAACAAAUCAAGCCCAAGCUAACGCAGAAGUUCACUAGAAUAUAAACCUGCUUACUACACCGCUGAAGAUGAAGAACGCGGUCAAGCGCAGUCGGUCGUUAUGGCCUCAUUCCGCUGCGCGACACAGAAGAUGCAGCGAAGACAGCAAGGUUACAAAACAGCAAUCGACCGGGAGCUUUGGAAUGGGACAUGAAGCACGGAAGGAGCACAAAACUCCUUGAAGCAGGUGACCUGAAGGCGAAGGAAAGCAUCACCCUAUCCGCAAGAGACGUCGACGUCGAGGGUAGUCCUCAAGACCCUUUUGAAGACGAUGAGAGCGGGGAAGAGGAGACAACCCUUCGCUGAGGAACACCAUGGAAGCCGCCUUUUGAGCUAAGGAACAGAGGUCCUCGGUGGUGCGCCUCACAACCACCUUUCACUCAGAGAGAGGAGGAGCUCUACGAAAACCCUAGAAACUAACCGCAAGAAUAGAUCGACUGGGGCGAGACGGCGGAGCAGAGGCGUGGACGGUCGCGACACGUCGAAGCUUCUGGCGGAUCUCGGAUCUCGGAUCUGACCCAGAUCCGAGCGCAAUCGGCGACUAACAGUAGAUCCAGGGCCCCCAAGGCCAUCGCAGACCCUUCUCGCCUCGCUGAUGGUCCAGAGAAAGCAAAGACCCUUUGAUUUCAGUUAAAUCCGGCGAAGAAGAUUUCAUCGGACCCAGACACAUCAAGCAAGGAGGAGAGAAAAGGAGAAGAUAGCAGAGGGUGAAGGCGAUGAAAAGGAACCGGUAGACAGAGGAGGGAGACCGACGGCGAAAGGUGCCGUCGGCCACCUGAACGAGCAGUUAAAGCGGCGGUGACCUGAAGUUUACGAUGGGAGAAGGGAGAGACUAAAGAGAGAGUUUCACUUCUCUCUCCUCUCUCUAUAGUAAGAUUACCCUUUCAUAUAUCAGAUUUUAUGACUUCAUUAUGCAUUAUAACCAUCGAAAAUCCAUCCACGGGAGUAGAUUGUCUUGCACCUAAGACUAAGAGGAUGAAUGGCCUGAUGAAUAAUGUUUGAGACUCAUAUGAUAGAGACUUGAAUAAUUCUAAACUAGAGAUAACAUAUACAUUAAAAACAAAGAUAAAAUAACACACAAUAAAGUGCGGCUAGGUUGGAAACAUUGUUAAAGUGGGAGGAGAUGAAAAUGUAAAUCAUAUAGUUUUUGCUUACACAUUAAUUCACCGUUUGGAUACAUACUAGUGGAUGGUGACUACACUUUUGACUCAACGCAUGUUAGCCUAUCAAGCUUUUGUUUCCAAACUAUGAUUUAUUAAACUUGAAAAUAUAAAUUCUCGAAGACAGAUGGUUGUUUUGGACACAGAACAUCAUCAUCAUUUUCCUGUACUGCUACAGUUGCAUCUCUGAUCUUGUCAAUUGCUACAAUCAGCAAUGAAGUCAAAGAAAGUAUUGAACCAGCCCUGGCAUAUGCAUGUGCCACAACGUGUACUGUCUUUUCAGCAAGUAGUCUCACCACCGUCACAAGUCAUACAUAAAAAAAGAAAGGUACCUUUACAUGACAAGCUUGUAAUGCAAAGUCUCUUAUAUUUUACACGACAAGGUCAUAAACCCUUAACAUUCUGUAAAAGUCACAUUGUUGAACUAGUAUAGUCCAAGGGCAUAUAAUAUGUUGUAGAAUCAUUGUGGCGUAACCUCGUAGAUAGCAAAAAGUAUAUUUUCAAAGUUUCCAAAACUAUUGUUACAACAAAGCAGAAAGCGUGAGAGAGAGACACCAAAACAUACCAUUAUCAUCUAUCUGAGAAGAAAAUACGGAUCAAAACCUUCCCAAACCUCUCCAACAAGAACACUAGACAUAUCCACCAAAGAAUCAUCCACCGACUUCUCAUGUAAUCCGACAACUACUCUGAACAUGUUAGACACCAGAGGGUUCCUCAGAAACGGUUUCAAGGCUUCCCCGAGCUCAACCAUAUCAGCAUACAUAGCGUUCUUGUCAUUGCCAUCAGUUGAGAAUCUGAGGAUACAGUUGGAGAAGACGUAGAGACCCAAGAGGUUACCAUAGAGUGGCAAAAACACAUCCUUGUGGUUCCCUACACCUCCCACCCAGCUCUCUCUUUGUUUCCCCACAUGGUCUUUAGCGAAACAAAGCAGCUUAUUGUGAAAUUUACUCCUCCAUUCCAGUAGCUGCCCAUGGGGCAAGUCACUGUUCGCUAGCUUCUGCAGAUGGUGGCAGCAAAACUGCAAGAUGAGGAGCUUUUCUUCGUGGUGAUUAUCGAUUUCCUUGUCGAAAACCCGUCUCACUAGAUCAAUACCUCCCUUCAGUGGCGCAGUGUAAUCUGCAGUGCUGAAGACCCAUCUCGAGAGAUACAAGAAAUACUCGUUCCAAUGACCAAAGACAGAAGAUAAAUGGUCGAAGCUCAGUUCCAAGACUUUCUCAACUUGUGUAGGAACUUCCAUGGCAGUGGAGAAGAAACACUUCUGGACAUCCGUGGCGAGUUUUGACCUGAUGAUAUCAUCUUCGUCCUCCAGUAGUUUGAUGCAUGUGAACCACAUCUCCAGAAUCUGAUACGCGUAUACAUCACAAGCGUUUUGAAACUUGCUUAGUGAGGGUGUUUGGUGAUUUGAGACAAGAGGACCAAUGAGCUUCGCUUGUUCUAAUAUACCAGAUGCUAUAAUAGCCUCUGCAUAUGCUUGGCGAACAUUCACUUGCUCGGAUGAUGAGCUUUUCUCUUUGAUCAAGUUAACAAAGUAGGAGACACAGUCAAUUACACAGCUCCAUCUUGGCUCCUCUUCCUUUUUGUCAAAGAACAAACUAGUGAGAUGCUUCACACAAAUCGCUAGGCAAGACAUGAGUGUACCUCGAGUCUUAACAUGUCUUGUCCUCUCAUAUAAAGAAGUCAGUCUACCCCAAAGAUGAAUCACCGAAUCAUAACUCAACGAACCAACAUAAAUGCCUUCAUUGGAUUCUUUUUUGAACAUAAGAAGAUUCCAUUGGCAAAGAAUCCUCAGAAUGUAAUUCUCACAUCUAUGAUUCUUCUCCUUCUCCAAGAGAUCCAAUAACAUCACCUGGAGUCCGUUACUCGCCCAAUGCCAGAUACUGCUCGUCUCUGAGAAACUGGAAUCUUCUGCUUUCAGAAACUGCAGAAACCACUUCAGUGUUGCUAAACGAACUUCAUAUGACUGAUCAGAUAAACAACGGAGGAGCCUACCCUUAAGGUCAGGAAAAUCUAACGCUUCAGGAACUUUCUGCAAUAGCAAAUUUGGUCUCUGAGUGAUUUGGAACACUUCAGCUGCUUCAUCAGAUGGCUGAAACACGCAGCCGAAGUAAGAUACAGCUGCCUGUUCCCUAAGCUCAGCGACUGUAGGGUCAUAAUAGGAGAAACCAUAAGAAGCGUCUGCAUCCAAGCAACUUGUAGAUAAAUCCAAAUGCAACUUGUAAACGUCUCUUAGAUUUUUCCAUCCAAUAGCUCGCAUAUGAUCAAGCACUCUCAAGAACGAUGUACUGAUGAUAGGGCAAGGGCACAGCAACGGAGAAGCCAUCCAUGUGCAUUUUGCAAGGACAUUGACCAGUUGUUCAAUAAUCUGAUCCUUCUUGGAGUUAUCAGUAAGGUCUCUACAGUUUGUAUCUAGGAGAUUACCAAGUUGCAACAAAACUCCGUGAAGAUAAUUGAAAGGCCCGCCUUGGACUUCAUUAGAAGGCAAUGUUGAGGCAACGCUGAGAAGAACGCUUUGCAGCUUCUCAUUGGAAACGAGACCUACUAAAGCACGGGAUGCCAAAACACGAACACGGAGAUUGCUUUGAGUAGAGCAUUUCAUAAUAAAGGGCAUGAAAACGAAUGGGUCCAGGUCAUCUCCAGAUUCACUUGCGAUGGGUGAAGGCUUAAGCCUGGAUAAGAGAAUGAGGAUGGGCCAUAAACUCGGAUGGACAUGAUUUGCGAGGUUUGAAUCUGAUUGACCAGAUGUGUCGAGCAUAUCAGUCGCUGCCUUUAGUUCACCAUAUAUGAAAGGGUGCAACAAGGGGUACCUUCAAGGAAACCACCACAAUAUUAACUAACUACAAAGAUCUUUAUUUCACCCUGGGGAGGAUCUAAUAGACAUACCUGUGAAAGAAUUCAAGGCCAGUCAAGCCACGCCGAGCAGAUCCACGUUUUUGAACAUUAAGGAAACCAACCAUCCUGCGGAGCAAAGCAGUGUAUGCAAGUGUGGCGCUGUUUCUGACUUCCCAAUAUGGCGAAGAGAAGGAUCUUAUUGCAACAGUCAUAGCCUCCGCAGAAAAUCCCGAAGUAUCAGUGCCCAAGUUUGUGUCGUUGAAAGCAGCUUUGAGAACAUUGAACGCAUGAACCGUUGGAACAACACCUUCAUCACGGACCUUUGAGAGUUUUUCACUUGGAUGCAUAUUAGAAGGAUUGACCUCUUCAUCCAUAUGUUUAGAACCUUUCUCUUCCGCGGGAUCCAUGAGAGGCUUCUCUGCAAGACCUAUCAGCCACCUAAGCGCCUGUGGGAGAAGCUUCUUUGGUGAACCUUCUGGUUCUGAGAGAAACAGAGCGAUGAAUGCAGCGGGAAUGCCUGCACUUCUUCGUAACAGAUCGUCUACUGUUUGUCCUUUGGCCAUAGUUCUUUCCAUAAGUUGCUCCAUCCAGGACUCUGUCAACCUACAAAGUCUAUGAAAAGAAAAACACAACCACAAUAUAUCAGAACAUAUAAAAACAAACUACAUAGACCCACAAGAAGCUUAAAAUCAUACCUUGGGUCGUUAGAACAUAGUAAACGGUGGCACAAAGCUGAAAACCCAGCUCUUGUCUUAUCUAUGGCACCAUUGUGCUUCAUUUUUAGAAGAACUUCUAAGAAGUGAUCUCCAAUCUUUUCAAGCUGCUUCAGGUCAAGCAGUGAUUCAGAAUUUCCUACAACGGAAUCAUCAGGGACUGCAGAAGCCAGAUCACCAUUUUCUAAAGGUGCAAGGCUGCUGGUAGGUAAUGGAAUUUUUCUUAUGAUGGUUCCUAAAAGAAGACUCACCUGAAGAAAGAAAACAGUUUAAGAAAUAUAAAAAAUGUGAUGUUAAAGUAAAGAUAAUUGUGAGAAGAUGACAGAACAGUACCUCCUUCAUGGCGAGCCAACAACCAACCAUAACCACCUGUUCUGAUUGUAUUGUUUCUUGCACAGGUUUUGGAUGUGUAUCCUUUUGUUCCUUUGAGAGAACAGUAGUAGCAGCAUCAUCUUGAACAUCUGACAAGAAACUAUCGUCAUCCACUAUGUCAUCCAUAUCCUCAUCCAAGCACAAGGCAUCUGCAGAAACCACCCAUAGUGCUAAUGUAGUUAUCCGCGUCACCAAUUUAAGAAGCUUUUCAAGUUCCUCUCUCAUCUCUGACACGCUAGAUAACACUGCGUUAGAGUUCCAAUCCAAUUCCUCGAAAGUAUAGCGCAAAGCCAGUAACACCCCAUGAACAAAACUGUUUCUGCACGCUUCGGAGAGAUCACGCUCUCCCUCCUUCACACAAGUAUCAAGCCAAUGAAUCAGUGAUUUGAUAUACUCAAUCACAGGAUACUUGGGCUUGGAGUUCUGAUGAAACCCAUUCGUGCCUUCACGCUCUCUUUGACAACAAACAACAUCGCUGGAAACCUUGACUAUCCAUCCAAGGUCCAAUACGUACUUUCUAAAGAUAAGCCUUAGAGUCAAAGAACCUGCAUCGCUCUCUCUUACACGUGGACUGCAGACUAGAUGUUUGGCCCAGGGGAUAAUGGUCUGAACCAUGUCUUCACUUGAAACGCCGGUAAAUGGAGUUGGGAAAUGAAGCAGUAUACGGAAAGCAUUUUCCCUAAGCCUGUCCCAACUAUCAACAAUCGAUCCCACCAGCAAUAACGUUGAAUCAUGCGAUGUGACAAUAUCACAGUAUGGGUAAAGAUGCGAAGUGGGGUCUUUAGAAGGCACGAUAGGCCAGACUUCAAUCAUGAUUUGUAUAAGUUCCGUCGCCAUUAUUUUCCUCCUGUAAGGAGCAGAAGGGUAGCAAGACAAAGACAAAAACGAACUCAGCCACCUCAUAAACUUGAACAGACUCUCUGCUCGCAGGACUGCAUCCUCAUCACCUUUUAAACAUUUUUCAUUGUUUCCGUUGGCUAGACGUGGCUGCCAGCUUCCUAGCUUAUACUGCUUCUCCAGCGACGUACGAACUCGAGAGAAAAACUUCCUGAACAAACUAGUCCAUUUCAUUUGAAAACCUGUAGAAGACGACCUCAUGUUCAAGGGAACAGCUUCCUUGAUGAGAUAGAGCUCGAAGGGGGAUGGAAGACUAGCAGUCUUGGGGUUUAAGAAGAGCGUUUCUGCAGCAUCCACGCGAACGGACUCAUCAACAUGUGUCAAUGCCAUUUUUAGCCACUCAACGGGAACUUUCAACUCGAUACCCUUGAUUUUGACAAAUGCAAAUGCAUCAGCGCUUCCUUUUUGUUCAAUGUCCCCUUCAAGGAAUGCAAGCGUACGACAAACUUUGAGCAGCGACACUAAAACAGCCACUUUCUGCUCAACUGUCAGUUCCAUACUAAUGCUACUCAACUCCGUAUAGACUAGCUUGGUCUCUUCCUCACUCGGCCCAAUUGAUAUCAAACCGAGCAAAGGAAAUAUACAAUCUACAUCCAGCUCUAGCAAAACUUGUACUGCAUAAGUAUUCAGAUUAGACCUGAGUUUCGACAUUCCAGAGGCAAGACCGUAAAGAAAAGGAGGCAAACAACGCUGUCGAUAAACUGCAUAUCCCCGUUCCACACCUUCACUCCCCCAGCAUUCAUCACGCAACAUCUCAAGGAAACAUUUUAUAAACGAUGUGACAGCACAGCAGACAUCAUCAUCAACAUACGCAUUCGCCAUCUCAAACAAUAGGUUAGGGCUCAUUUCCAGCAAAGUCUUCGCACCUAACCGCCUCGUCAAUGACGCUAACGGAAUGUACCUUCCCUUACAGCGUGACCCCAAGCGAAGAAGAUAGUUAACAAUCUUCAGCAAAGACUCCCUCACUUCCACUUUAUCAUACGUCUGGUGAACGGUGGUUUGAAUGUCUAGCAAGAGGUCAAACAUGAGAUGGACUUGCUUGACCGUCUGGCUCAGAGGAUCCUCCAAGUUGUUCCAUAUGAUUUUGAGCACCCGGGAGACCUUGCUGUCCGGCAUCGGAUCAUAAUCUUCCGCCAGAUCGUUUAACGUAGACAUUUUGAUCUGUUGCAAGCAGAUCUGCAUCACAGUUAGUGCGUGGAAGUUUAAAUGGCUGUCGAUAGGGUUCUCGCAUAAAUCACAAAGCUCAGGCAAUAUUCCAUCGUACAGAAUAGUUUUGUGAUCACAAUCAACAGAGGAAACAAGAACACCUCUAGAAACCGCUGUAAGAAUGCCUCUGAUCAAGCAGAGUCUACUCAGAGACGAAAAGCUUCUGAUCUCAGAACAAAUGUCUCCACAAAAUGGAAUCUUACCAACAAUAUCAUUAAACUCAACGACACCGUUCCAGCAAAACAUACCUUGAGCUAUAAACAAGCCAACCUCCUCCUCCUCAAGACAAACCUGUAGAGCAGCACAGAAACUCACACCAGCAGCCACACAACAGUCUCUAGAAAAAGCCGCCGACUUCAAAAUACUCAUCUGAACAGCGAAAACCUUCUCCAUAAAACUCGCAUCCUCCCCAACCAAGCCCUUAAACUUCAAAGGAAACCGCUGAAACAAGUAAUAAGAGCAAGACAAAGCCUCUUGGCACUGCUCCAUAACAGUAGGAGGAGGUCUAGCACAAGCUUCAGUCUCUAACACAAUACCGUUCAACCCGGAGACAACAUCACGACCCACCAAAACGGCACAAUCCUCAAUUAUAUCAACCAAGUAUCCUAACUUAGGCAUUCCCAUCACUGACAAAGCAACUCUAGACACACAGAAACGUUUCCCACCGUCUUCCAAACCGCCGUACUCAUCACAAAGCUCUCUAAAACACGAACUAAUCACCGAAUGGAACUUACGUGUUUUAGCCAGAGCUGAGACGAGAGUCCUGUGAAGAGGCUGUGAGUUCUCCAUGAAGAGAACCUCAAGGUAAAGCCUGAUGGCUUCACGCACAAAAGCUGGCUCUUCGUUCUCGUGGGCCUUUGAGAGUACUUCGCCGAACGAGGCAACGACUCUCUUGGCGUGGUUAACUUGCGCGUAGGUUGAGUUCAGAGAGACCAACUCUUCGAUGUCGGAGUGAAACUUGGAGCAACAUUGAGAUAAACUAGAUUGGUUUAAAGAAGUGGUGAAUGAGGUUGGGAACACGAUGGCACUGUAUGUGUAGCGGUGGCGAUGCUGGAGAGCUCGCCACUUUGCAGACAUUUUUCUACGAGCUGAGAGUGUAAAGAGGAGAAAAAGUUAGAACCUUUUUUUUUUUUUGCUAAAAGCAAAAAAUAAAAUAAAAAUUGGAACUUUGUUGUACCCUUUGAAGCAGAGGACCAAGACGAGGUUUGGAUGGAGGUCCUUCAAUGGCGGCUCGGUGCUAAGAACAAAGUUUUGAUUUUGAGAGGCAAAAUCGAAAGACAGAGAGGUUUUAGGGCAAAACCUGAGUUGGAGAUUCACUGUAAGGAAUAUUUUGAGAAGACAAUCAAAUAGGCCCUUAUGGGCUAAUCCCUUAAGGCCCAUUAAUAAUUUUUUGAAUCUAACACAACGUAUCUUAGAUUUAGAAUGUGAAGCUCUUCUUGUAAGAUGAACAGAUAUGGACUUUUAGAUGAACAGACAGAACAAGCUCUGCUUAGAACCGAUGUAUGCCAUGUUUCCAUUGCCUGGCUUAUCACAAUCGAAGUCCAUAGUAGCGUAUGAAUUGUGUGUAUAGUCAUUUGGGUGUGUGUGAAGAACAUGAUGAAUCCUAAAAUUCAUUCAGAAAUGAGAUUUAUAAAAAAAAAAAAAAAGACAACUAUGAUCAACUAUGGAAAAAUAGAUGUUUUAUUGAUGAUUUGAUAACGAGUACAAAAAGGUGCUCGAUAACAAUGGAGCUUGAAUAUCAAGAGGAUAUAAUUUAGCUAUAAUAGAAUUUUGUUCUUAGUCAUUGGCAUAUUGGUCAACCUUGUUCUUACUAACGUCUUUUAGCUACUUAUCAUAUUUAUUCAUGUAACUAACACAUCGGCGGAAAGAACAUAUAUGUAAUCUUUCAUUUUGGCUCAUAAAGGUUUUCGAGAAAAAAAGAUUUGGGUGUGUGUUAACUUUACGGCAAUGAGGAAAAUAUGAGGAAGUUUAGUGUAAAGGGGUCGUGACAAAAACAGUUGCGACAAUAACAGGUUAAAGGGAAUGCAUGUUCUAAAGGCAUUCUAUCUUUCUUGUGCAGUGUAUCGUUAUACCUUUAAUUUAUUUGGGUAUCAUCAUUUCCUUUAGUUUGUUAUUAUUGUGCGGCAUAUAUAAUCAUUUGAGGUGGGGAGGGGGAGAUGAUCUUAUUAAUACUCUGAACUGUGAUCCGAUGAGAUAUGACUUUUAUUAUGUGCGAAUGAAGAUAAAACGAGAAAAAGAAACUUAUCGUGAAUUGGUGAUCUUCAAGAACAAUCAACAUGUUUUGCAUCCUUCCGAAAAUAGUAAACUCGUUUUAAAAUAUGGGACUUACAUGAUCAAGCCACUGCUGAUUUGUAUUUAAUUUGCAUUUGAUCAAGUCUUACAAAUUAGUGAAUUACCAUCCGUGUGUAGGUUUAUGGUUACUUAAGCGCAUGGGUUGGUCAUGUUGUGCUUCUAUUUUGAGCUCCGGUGAAGAAAAUGCUUCUCGCUAUGUCUACGGUAGAUAUUAGUACCCAGAAAGAGAUUAAAGUCUAUGGCCCAAACUUUUCCUGGUUUACAAAAAAAGUCUUGAUGCCUCUCACACUAUAGCAUUUCAAUGUUGCAUGAUAACGGCGACGAAAACUCCAAGUUUGGUAUUAUCUUUGAUCAUCAUUAGUCGAAAUGUCUAUAUAUCCGACGCCAAAAAACGAAGAAGACAAAACUGAACGGCAAUUGUAAAUUUUAUCAUAUUGAGCAAACAAGAUUUCAAACAGAGAAAAAGUAGUAGCUGGUUUCAUCUAUACUAUUAAAAGGGAAACAUUCUAAAAAAAUCUACUUAAACAAGGUUGUUGGACUCUUUCAAUUUUGUUAGCCAUUAUAUUACCUUAAUUAAUAAGCCCCACUUAAUUGGUUUAUAUCUAUCUCAAACUAAGAUUUUGUUUAUAACAUAAUAGUGCCUCACAUGCCAUUAUAUCCUCCGACAUUUUUUUUUUGGUCUAAACCUCCGACAUUUUAGUAUUUAACAUAUCUUUAUACACAUCUCAAUAUUUGAAUGUAUUAUUAUUCAAUUCAUACGUAUGGAAAAAAUCUAAACAAGUUAAUGAUAUGCGAUAUAUAUAUUUUGACCUUAUAUAAAUAACCAUACAUAAAAAUAGCAGUCGUGAUACUAUUUCUUUAUUUAUAUAAUUCAAAAUAUUUACAAAAUCAAAUUAAAUAAAAAAGACUUUAGUAAACCUUUUGUCAAAACACAAUUAUAUAUUAUGUUAAUUUUUUUUAUAAAACUAUUUUGUGAUAAUAAUUUUUGAUUUAAGAUAAGUUUAAAAUUUAUUAAAAACCCUAAAAAUAUCUUAAUAUAAUGAAAGAUGGGUUUGGACAUUCGGGUCUUCGAGUCAGGUAUAAAUCAAUUCUUUUCGGGUUCAAUUUAUUCGGAUCCUUGAUAUUUGGAUGCAACUAAAUAUUUGAAAAAAAAUUAGUUCAGGUUUGGAUCGGUUCCUUUUGGAUUCAAAUCAAUUUGAAAAUAUAAUUCAAAUACAUAUAAACUACUGUAAUUUGAGUACAUAAUAGGUAUGGAUCCGAUUCAGGUAUGUAGGACUAAAAAGACUCAAAACUCUCCCGUAAAAUCUGAAACACAAAAAAUACCCAAAACCCAAAAUUUACCUGAAUUCUUACUCGAGGAACCAAAAAUCCUAAUUUUUAUUCGAAUAUUAAAAAUAUAUUUAAAAAAAUAAAAAAUUUAUUCAAAACCUGAAACUAGAACCAAGAGCACGGGCCAUGAACUAAUAAAAAAAUACUCAUAUACUGAAAACAUAUCUGAAAUACCUAAAUAUGCCUAAUAUACAAAAAAAAAUUUUUGAGUACUUUGGGUAUCCGUACUCAAAGAGAGACCCAUAGGUCCAAAAGAAUCCAAGAGGUAUUUUUUCCUGAUCCCAGACUCGAACAUCUAUUUCGUAUCAAUUUCGAUUCGUGUAUUUCAUACCUAAGAGAGAGUUAUAAUAAAAAGUGUACUUAUAAAAUCUCAAAUAAGCUAAUUCAUAAAUUAAAUAAUUUUUUUAAAAAAAUUAUUCGAUAUAAUACAACUUUAUAACAUAUAAAUAUAUAACAAACAUAAAAUACUAAUUCAUAUCUAAUUUUGAUUAUAACGUAAAAACCCGCGCUUUCAAAAUCUAGUUUUAGUCUUUAAAACUGUUUCUAAAAAGUCACUUUUGAUUAUUAUUAAGUAAGUAAGUAGAAUUAGCACAUUACCAUGUUAAAUAUUGAUCAUUGAUUCUCUCGCAUUUUAAUUUUAAUUUGAAGUACAUAACUAUGGUUAGAAAAAUAAAUCAGAGUCGUCGGUCCCAAUAUCGCGGAAGGUGUCCAAUAAGAUAUCUUUCUCUGCAUACUAAAAAAAAUAUUAGAUUGAAUUUCUUUAAAAUGAGAUAUAUUAAAGAGUGUGAUUUAAAGGUGACAAUGGCAUCAAGACAAACUAAUUAAUUAUAAUUGUAUCAAAGGAAAAGUGAUUAAUGUUGGCCCCUACAAUACCCAUAUAAAGGCAAACAAUAAUAAUUCCCAAACAUGUUCUAUGAGUUGGUUGAUCAACUUAUAUAAAUAAUUCACGUACUCACUCCAUUAUAAUCAGAUUUAUUUAUGGAAUGUCGUAAUUAUCACUCUCUAAAUAGGGGGUAUAGAAAGGAGUGGGCACGAAUCAGAUAUCCGGUUUUUGAAGGUAUUCGUGAUCCAAUCCUAUCGUUCGAAUAACCAAUUAUCAAGUUCCGAUUAACCAAUUAUCAAGUCUGAUUUGAUUUGUAACCAUCCAGAUAUUUGAAAUCCAGAAUAUCCAGAAAAUUUUAGAUUUUUGACCGGAUAACCGAUUUCAUCCGUAGAAAAUAAGUAAAAACUAGAAAAUAAAUAAAAAAUCCAAAAUAAUAUAAAAUAAUAAUAUUUACUACAAAAAUAAAUAUUUAUAUACUUUUUAAAACUCUAAUAACUAAUAUAAUAAAUUUAGUAAAUAAAAAUACUGUAAAACUUAUAUAAAAUAUAAUAUAUGCUCUCUUUGUUUCAUAAUAAUUGUUACUUUACAAUUUUAUUUUAUUUUGUUUAAAACGUUAUUCUACAAUUUCAAUGUAAUUUUGUACACUAAAUCUAUUUUUUACUCUUUUAAAUAAUCAAUAGAUUUUAAUUUAAAACAUUUUCAUUUAAUUAAUCAAAGAGAUAUAUUAGUCUAUUAUACAAGUUUCUUAAUCUCCGUAAAAAAUAUCAAAGUGAUACAUUUUAAGAAACAAAAUGAGUAUAAUUCUUUAAAUAUAUGUAUAAAUAUAUAUAUAUAUAUAUAUAUAUGCAUAUAACAUAUCGAAUCGGAUAUUCGUUCCUAAAAAUAUUAGUAUUUGUGAUUUGCUUUGUUUCUUACGGAUAUUGCACAUUAGUAUUUGUUUUGCUUUAAAGAGUUAUAUUUAUCUGAAUUUUUGGUUCGAAUCGGUACGGAUAACGAAUCGAAUCAAAAUUUACAGAUAUUUUGCCCAAUCCUAGUAUCUAUAACUAUACGCAUUGUAUAUAGUCGAAUCUUUUUGCUGAGUUUUAAGUACCUUUAACAACUAAUAAAGUCGUGCCUAUUGUAAAGUGAAAUCUCAAAAAGGUCAUCAAACCAGCCGAUUCUUUUUUUUUUCUUAUAAAAAGCUCAUUAGGUUCAAUUACAAAAAAAAAAAAGUUCAUUUGGUUCGGCAAACAAAGAAGAAAUCCAUUAGGUUUAACUAUAGCCUAUAGAUAUGAUACAAGCCUAUAUCUAUCAAUUUUUAUAAAAAAAAAUUGUAAAUUUUUCUUGAAAAUAUCUUAGACCAAAAUCUAGUUUUCCAAAAAAACAAUACCAUCGAUUAUUCUGGUUCCCGAAUUUUCUAAUAGUGGAUAAGAUAUGCCUCCAUCUUCGUCUGACCAAACAGUAGUAAAUUAAUUUUAGCAGGAUUCAAACUUAAAGUUGACGGAUUUACAUUUUAACUCAAACCUUCUUUUUACCACCAAGCUAUCGCUUCUUGGUUUAACUCUCGAUUCUUGUCGAUAAGUUUUAAGUCGUCAUAUGCAUAUAUGUGCUCACUGUAACAAAUGUGUUCAGCAUGAUCUUUGUUUAUGUCAAUGAUCAGACGAACCAAUCAACCUUUAAUUAGAAACAAUGUAAAUAUCUAGUAUCAACCUUUGAAGUUUUUAGUGAAACUUGUUUGAGGGGUGUUUGUUGUUACUGUAUAUCGUGUCGUGUCCCCUACCAAACAUCGAUCCUUCCUCAAAAAGUAAAAGGCACUUCGUUGAAAUAUACCACGAUAUCUUCAUUAUGUUGGAUCAUAAGCUUUAUAAAAGCAUUAUAUGAAACAUUCCAUCAAUGGAUUAAACUAGUUAGGAAUAAUUAUAGUAGCAAUAAACCGUAGACCACAGCUUUUUCAACACAUCACAUGCCCCGAUUUUGGCCACAACCCAAUCUUUAAUCUUCUGUUAGACAAUAAUAUAGGAAUAUUAUAUGAUAUACUAUAACAUAAGCGAGAUGCUUUGCUCGAGAAAAGGGGCGCAGAAACAACCAAACCCACUUAUUUACUAUAUAUUCAUUUAUCUUAUAUAUUAAAAUAGAAAUCAUUGACUUAUGUAUAAUUUUUUUUUUAAAUGAACAUAUUACUAGAAAGUUAUAUUACAUAUAUGUCUAAAUAACUCACUUUCUAAAUUACAGAAACUAAAUAAUAUGUCUAUAACACAAUAUUGCUACAUUAUAUAAACUAAAUAACUAUCAAUUCUUUCUAAGCAAAAAAAAACGUGAUAUGGAAACAACUCAUUUAAUAAAAAAAUACGAUAAAAUUAUUGUAUUUUAAAAAGUGAUAGACACACCUCAUAUAUAUUAUAAUAUAUACCAAUUUAUAAUUGAAAACAAAAUAUUUAUAUAAAAAUAAAUGAAAACAAACACCAGUACGGUUGCGCGGAUCAAGAUUUAGUUUAGUCUUUAUUAUUGUCGUUUGCCACAUGGCCUAUAUUCCUAGUUAGUUAUCUCAUUCUAUUCAAAAAAUUUAUAUUGAUGCUGUAGAUAGCUCAAAAUCAGAUAAUAUACAUAUAAUUGUUAACAAAGUGAUUUGUUAUCCACCUAAAAUGAAUAUCAAGCUUCUUGUUUCAUGUAUCAACAAAAGUUGCUUUCAAAUUCUCAAAACAACAACAAGAUUAGUGUCUUUCUAUUUUUUAAAAUUUUCUUUCUAAACCUAUUAAUCGUCUAACCUAUUAAAAAUCAGUUAAGUUAAUUGUAAAUUUUAGGUACAAUAAACUUUCUCAAUAAAAAUUUGAUUUUUUUCAGAAUCUAAAAUAGCCAAAUCCGAUUGAUAUACAAAAAAUACCCUAACGGGUUUUAGAUCCUUAUACCUAAGUACACGAAAAACUUAAAAUAUCUGAUCCGAACCCAAAUGGAUACCCGUACAUACCUAGUUGAGUCGUAGAACAUUGUAGCUUUUGUUAAACUUAUUUGGUGAAAUGGCAAUAGAGUGAGAUAAUUAUUUUGCAAUUUUCCGUAUUUGUGCAAUACAGUUUGUUCUGGACUACUGGGCCGAGUUUGAUGUGUGCACAUUGAGGUGUCAAUUAGACCCAACCACUCUAGGGCUCAUUACCAAAUAGUCCGCCUUGCAUGAAAUUUUAUCGAUUUUUCUUUCUCAACGAUCAUAGUUAUUUCAUACAUCCAUCAUGUAAAUUAAAAUUAUAUCCACACCAAAGAAAUGCAUAUUCAAUUACAUCCAUAUAUUUAUAAAACUCACACCGAAGCGACUAAAUAACAAAUUGAUCGAAAAAAACCAUUGGAGAAAGUGACUGAUGAUCGAGAGGAAUAUAUAUAUUACAUGGAUGGUAAUAGACAACUCAUGUAUCCGACACGCCCUAAAUAUACUCGUGUUCAGACGAUCUGUUUAUUCCAUGUAUUUAAGUUCGGAUCAUGCACUACGUUUUCAGGCUAAUCUGCUCUAUUACACUAAGUGUAUUUUUUCCGGGACCGACCGGAUAACCAAUAAGUUUAUAAAAAAAAUUUAUCAACACAAUAAAUUAACAUCGAUGAUCAUUUUGUUGGAAGUAAACUUGAGAAUAACUUGAGCGGCAAGAUAUCUAAUCCUAGUUAGAUUUGGAGUUAUCUUAAUAUUGUGUUAAUCCUAAUGCGAUUAGGAUAAGUGUGGGACUAUAUAUAGAUAUGCAAGAGUUUGCAUAAUUAGUGUGUGAGUUUUAUGAGUUUGUGAGUUUGAGGUUUUGGGUGAUUUUCCUCAAGGUGAUUAAUAAGAAGAGUUUCUUAUUGUGUGUUACAUUAUUCGUUCUUGAGACUUGAUUUCUACAUUUGGUAUCAGAGCUUACGGACACGAUCUGGAGCAAACAGAAACAAUGGGAGACCUUAUACCAUAUACGAAACCUAGAGAAGGAUCCUCUCAAAUACAAUGCCCGAUGCUAAACACAACUAACUAUACGGUUUGGGCCAUGAGGAUCAAGGUUUUGUUAAAGGUACAUGAGGUUUGGGAAGCGGUUGAAACCGAGACAGACAACGUCAAAAAGAACAACAUGGCUAUGGCGCUACUUUUCCAAUCAAUACCUGAAACAUUAAUACUACAAGUUGGAGAAUUAGAUACAGCAAAGAAAGUGUGGGAGGCCAUUAAAGUACGACACAUGGGAGCAGAUAGGGUUCGAGAGGCACGCUUACAAACCCUAAGUUCAGAGUUUGAACGACUAAGGAUGAAAGAAACUGACACGAUUGAUGAAUUCGUUGGAAGAUUGGCAGAACUUUCAUCAAAACCAGCUGCGUUGGGAGAGAAUAUCGAGGAAACCAAACUUGUUAAGAAGUUCCUCAAAAGUCUUCCUAGGAAGAAAUACAUACACAUCGUGGCAUCCUUGGAGCAAGUUCUCGAUCUAAAGACUACAACGUUUGAAGAUAUUGUAGGUCGCAUGAAAGCCUUUGAGGAACGUGUAGCUGAAGAAGAGGAAGAAGAUACACAAGACACCCAAACAGGUGAUUUUCCUCGAGGUGAUUAAUAAGAAGAGUUUCUUAUUGUGUGUUACAUUAUUCGUUCUUGAGACUUGAUUUCUACACAUUUGAAACAAAACAAACAUAUUUAAUAUCAAGAGAAAAACAAAACAACAUAAAUCAAAAUUUGAUCUUGCAUCCAUACCAACCACUAACAUGGCAGAUUUAGUAACAAUUAGCUCAUUACACGUUAAAUCAUGAUUCAUUAACUAUAUGCGUAUAUACGUACAUACAGAAACAUAUAUACCCUCAUCAUGCUAAAAUUGAAUUUUGUACAAUAUCGCAAGCACAUGUGUGGACAAUUAUUGUUUUUUUCUUAACAAACAAAAUGUGUGGACAAUUAUUUUCACUUUAUAUAAUGUAUUUACGCGAAAGGGUGGUUGUUCUGGUAGACAACAAAUCGGCUCUAGCACUAACAAAAAAUCCGGAGUUCCAUGGACGCAGCAAACACAUACAUAGGCGUUAUCAUUUCAUUCGAGAAUGCGUUGAGAAUGACUUGAUAGAAGUUCAGCAUGUACCAGGGAAUGAUCAAAAGGCUGACAUUUUGACAAAAGCACUUGGAAGGAUCAAGUACAAGGAGAUGAGAGAGUUGAUAGGAGUUCAAGAUAUCACUCAAGUUAGUCUUAAGUUUAAAGGGGAGAAUGUUGGAAGUAAACUUGAGAAUAACUUGAGCGGCAAGAUAUCUAAUCCUAGUUAGAUUUGGAGUUAUCUUAAUAUUGUGUAAAUCCUAAUGCGAUUAGGAUAAGUGUGGGACUAUAUAUAGAUAUGCAAGAGUUUGCAUAAUUAGUGUGUGAGUUUUAUGAGUUUGUGAGUUUGAGGUUUUGGGUGAUUUUCCUCGAGGUGAUUAAUAAGAAGAGUUUCUUAUUGUGUGUUACAUUAUUCGUUCUUGAGACUUGAUUUCUACACAUUUGAAACAAAACAAACAUAUUUAAUAUCAAGAGAAAAACAAAACAACAUAAAUCAAAAUUUGAUCUUGCAUCCAUACCAACCACUAACAUGGCAGAUUUAGUAACAAUUAGCUCAUUACACGUUAAAUCAUGAUUCAUUAACUAUAUGCGUAUAUACGUACAUACAGAAACAUAUAUACCCUCAUCAUGCUAAAAUUGAAUUUUGUACAAUAUCGCAAGCACAUGUGUGGACAAUUAUUGUUUUUUUCUUAACAAACAAAAUGUGUGGACAAUUAUUUUCACUUUAUAUAAUGUAUUUAUAUUUGUGGUUUUCAUGAAUAUAAUUUAUAUACUCAAUGGGUAUUUUUUUUAACAUUAAAAGUCGUAUCAAAGUAUUAUCAUGAAUUGAUGAUAUUAGCAAUUUAAAAAUUCGAAAUUCGUAUUUUUUAUAGUUCUGGUGGUUGGAAAAUUGCUAAGAGUUUCGACAAUGGAGAGUAUUUGUUAUUAGAAUUCAAAUCUCGAACAUUUUAUAUGUCUGUGGACAAUGGAUACACCACUAUUGAAAGACAAUUUAAUGUCCAACAUCUUAGUAAAUACAUAAUAAUUAGGAGCCUUGAAAACUCCUAACAUCACUUGGUGAUAGUCCAAUAACAUGGUGUUCUCAGAAGCAAGAGACAGUUGCUUUGUCCUCAUGUGAAGCUGAGUUCAUGGCAGCCACGGAAGCAGCUAAACAAGCUAUUUGGCUUCAAGAUCUCUAUGAAGAGAUCACUGAUCAGACGCGCGAAAGGGUGGUUGUUCUGGUAGACAAUAAAUCGGCUCUAGCACUAACAAAGAAUCCGGUGUUCCAUGGACGCAGCAAACACAUACAUAGGCGUUAUCAUUUCAUUCAAGUGCCAUUGGUCUACACCAAAGCAACACAAGAAGACAACCACUUCACAUGGUCUGCUCUUACAUUCAUAACCGAAUCUUAAGUCACUUUUAGUUGGUUGUAAAUCUGGAAUUACUAUACUAUCCAGCGACUCUCUCUUUUUUUCUUUUUUUUUCUUUCCAUUUAGAGCAUUUUCAAAACCAACUUCAUUUUUUAAAUUGGCAAAAUUUAAAAUUUAAGAAUGAUUCUCUCAAAAAAAAAAACUUCAAACUUAGCACUAUAGUCUAUCUUAUUAAUAAAAGUUAGCAAAAAUCAGAAAACUUUUAUUUAGGAAUAAAAUAUUAACUGAAUAUUAUACACAUUAAUAAUUAAUGAGAUAAUACGUUCUAAUAACGUAUUGAUACGUAAUAAGUUUAAUCCUAAGUAGUUGUUAAUAUUUUAGGGUCAAUCCAAUUUCUGAAUAAUUUCAAUCAUUAAGAAUGUAAACCAUACAACUUAAUCUAACUGCAAUCAAUGGAUUCAAGUUGAUAAGUAACAAGAUUCAAACAAAGCAAGCAAUAUCAAAGGCUUUCAAUCAUUUGUUCAAGUAAGAACCCAUGGGCUUAACGUAAUUAGUUUCUAAGUCAAGGUGUCAACUUUAGGCAAUCCCAAAUUCUUAUAGGUUUAGAAUACAAAUAAAAAUCAAUUUUUUCUCAAGGUAAAGAUCCCUAUUAAUUAUGAACUAAACAUUAAUUCACAUUGGUUUAAAUCAUUCAAGCAUGCAUUAUAUUCAAAUCUAUUAACCAUCUAGCAAUCCUAACAUCAAAUCCCUUUGGUUAUUCAAGCUAGAAAAAUAUUGAGUUCAGUCAAGCAUUUUAACAAACACCUUCCAGAUAUAAAAUAACUUAUUAUCAAGAUGAGAGUGAACAAGUCAAAUCAAUUCAAACUAAAAAAAUAUUAAGUUCAGUCAAACAUUUUAAUAAACACCUUCCGGAUAUAAAAUAACUUAUUAUCAAGAUGAGAGUGAACAAGUCAAAUCAAGCAUUAAGAACACUCGAUAUGCAUAGAACCAAAUAGAUCUAAUCAUUAAACACCUUAACUCUUUACUAAUCACCCUACAUCUACCUAACCCAUUGAUUCAAAAGGUAACUACUCACUAAUAGACAUGAUAAACCCAAAAAUCGAUAGUGACUUAAGGUUAAUCAUGAUUAGUGAUCAAGAUAAUCCAAAGAUUGAAAUUAUCACCAAAAUAGAUGUGUGUCUAGAUUUGUCCCAAUAUUAAGUCUAAAAUGUAUUUAUAGAAGUCUAAAAAUGAGCUGGGUAAACCCAACAAACCUGGGUCAACCCACUGAAAAAGCAGUCUUUUCGCUUGUAGAGACAUGGUCUUCCCUCUACAGGUUGGUCGCUAUGCACUACUCAGCUCUUCAGGGUCUGCAGCGACCUUGUCGUGUCGCUACAAUUGCUCGCGUCACGCCACAGCAAUCAGAUGAUGUCGCUAUGCCCAUGUCGCUAUGACACUUAGCCAUCUGCAACUUUAGUCUUGGUCUUCUUGUAGCGACCAUGUGUGGUCGCUAUGCAUGUCGCUAGGAUGACUUGUGUGGCUUCUUAGCGACUUGAUGAUGUCUCUACACUGACGUCGCUAUGGACACUUAGUCGUUUUAAGAUAUCCAGCUCUUCUUCUUCGUAGCGAUCAGGCGGGGUCGCUAUGGAUGUCGCUACAAAGGCUCGGCAGGUGCUACAGCGACCAGACGAUGACGCUACACUCUCGUCUCUACGACACUUAACACCAGAAACUGAUAUACGCUCCAAACAUCUCUUUUGGCCUUAGAACGUCUCAAUUGUUUUCAAAGUCACCAACAAAGAUCCCCAACACCUGCUUUAGACAUAUGUAAUGCAGCGCAACCUAAAUGUACUCUAAAUGCAUCUAAAUGAUCAAUACGAGAACUAAAAUGAAGCUUGAAAUCAUGUAAAUAUACAAGAUAUGAUCAAUAUGAGAACUAAAAUGAAGCUUGAAAUCAUGUAAAUACACAAGAUAUCACGUAUUACAUGUAUUUCGAAAUAAUAGCUAAAUAUUUUUAUUAUUAUUUGUAGAUUACAAGUUAAAAGUUGUUAUAAUCUUGUACUUUCAUUAGUUAAUGUAAUAAGUUUGUUUUCAUACGUAUUAUCUUUUUGUAUUUUCACUUUAUGAUUUGUGUCAAAUGUGUAUUGUAAUAUUUUUUGUGUAAUAUUUCGUUUUGCUUAUAACUAUAGAAGUUAGUAAAAUAAUUUGAAAAUAGAUAAUUGUAUAAAGAUUUAAAAGUAAAAAAAUUCAAAUAUGAAGUUUUGUAUAGUGAAAUUUCAUAUUUGAAAUUGUUUUUGGAGAUGUUCUUAGUUACAUCUACGCUGUUGCCAUUUUAGUAUUUUUAUAAUAAGGAUAAUAAAUGUGCAAUUAGUCAGUUGUAUAUGUGAAACGCUUUAAAAAGUUGAUAAAACUUAAGAAGCAUCUGACUGAAAGAAGUUGUAAUUCAAAUUUGGACAUGAAUGUUUGAAUUGAAGUCACUCGUUAGUUUCUCGUGGAUUUGUAAUUUACUACAUCAUCUCUUCCCACACCUUUUUAAAUUCCUAAAUAUACUAAUAACAAAUGUAAUAUUAUAAGUUAGUACAUAGCAGUUCACGUGAACAGAUUUAAAUAGUUGUUAGAAUUCAAAAAGCAUUUGAAACCCUUGAAUUCGAUGAAUAAUGUAUCAUUGAAUAAUGUAUCAUUAUCAUCAUUUACGGCCUUUGUUGAAUAAUGUAAUUUCUAUUAAAAAGGUCGUGUGUGAUGACAAUGAUACAUUAUUAAGUUGUAUAAAAUGGUACAUCACAUAAAAAUGUAUUAGAGUAAAUUAGUAAUGUUGAUGAUGUUUACUGACUAGCCUUUUAUCUGCACUUUUUGAAAUUUUCAAAUAUGGACUAUGUUAUGGAAACUCUUCCCGAAUAUUUUGAAACAUAAUUUAUAUAGAUAUAAACAUUCACAUAAAGAGUAGAAGGGUAAACUUUUUAUUAUUAUUGAUAGAGAUUCAUAGACAUUCUUAAACUUGUGGAAACAUAGUUUUUCUUUUUUCGUAUGGAAAGAAACUUAAGUCAAAGGCUUAAUGGUCCAUCACAAGUUCAUUCGCUUGUAGAUUAUAGCAAAGUUUAUAAUUUAGUUUAAAAUAGUCAGUGAUGCUCUAUAUAAAUGGUCUAUUGGAAAGGAAAGAAACUGAUGAAUUCUCAUAACAGAGAUGGUAGACCAGCCGAAGGAAAUAUACGGUUGAAUAGGCCAAUGGCAUAUCUUUAUAUUUUGACCAGAGUUCUACUUGCAUAUUUGUUAAAAACCACUAAUAGAAUUUAACCAAUUUUGAAUGUGUUUUCAAAACUACUAUAGUUGAAUACGUCAUCAUUUUAAGGAAGCUAUAAAUAAUAAUAAUAUAUACAAAAUAGAUCAAUUAAUUAAAAUCUUAGUAAGUAAUAUCAACUGGCCUUAUUUUCACUAAUUUUUCUGCUUACCAGUUAACUUACUGAUCCCAGUCCACGAGCGCACACAUAGGAGGGGUACACACGAAUCUCUCUCAUUUCACUUCUCAAUGCUCUUGUAGUCUUUGACCACUGGUCUUCUUCAACAGUUGUGCUCUCUCUCUCUCUCUCUCUCAUCUCUUCUUCUCUAUAUAUACACAUAACACCUUCCUCUCCACACUCUCAUUCUCUCUCUAUCUCUCUCUCCAUUUUUCGAUUUCACCACUCCCAAACAAGACUCUAGUACAGAGUUCUCGAACUUACAAAACAAUUGUCAGUUUUUUUCUUUCGAGACAUUUUUAUUCAAAACAUUAUUAUCUCAGCUCUGGAUCUCUCCUCCAUUUACCAAUGACCUCGUUUCCUCUCUGAGCCAACUCGUCUUUGACUCACUAUAACUCAGUCCCUUCCUCCUUCUCCUCACUCCACAACUUCGGAUCCACAAAAAUGUCGGAGACAACGGCGGACCCAAAGCCGGUUCCACCGGCCGAAGCCGAGAAGAAGAAAGAAGAGAGCUUACCGUUCUUCAAACUCUUCUCUUUCGCAGACAAAUUCGAUUACCUCCUGAUGAUCACUGGCACUCUUGGCGCCAUCGUUCACGGCUCAUCCAUGCCUGUCUUCUUCUUGCUCUUCGGUGAAAUGGUUAACGGAUUCGGCAAAAACCAGAUGGAUUUACACCAAAUGACACACGAAGUCUCCAAAGUAAAAACCUUUUCUUUCUAUUUACUUAUUUAAUAAAUUAAAAAAAAAAUACAGAUCUAAGAUCUGAUCUGUUAUUAUGUUCUGUCUUAAAAAAAACUGCAGUAUGCUCUGUACUUCGUCUACUUGGGUUUGAUCGUGUGCUUCUCUUCAUACGCAGGUUUGUCAAAAUUAAAAACCCAAACUUUCUUUUUCUUUACACACUUCAAUCAAUAACCCCAGAAACAAUAGGAUCAAAAUAUUCAAUCUUUAAUAAAAAAAAAAAGUGAGGAUAAACCGAGUCCACGUGAUUCAUCAUGGACUCUUACUUUGUCCGUAUCCAUUAAGCCGUCAUCAAAUCGGCAUCUCUCUCACAUUUAUUACGCUUCGUAAAAAUAAAAAGAUUCUAUUUUUAUUUUAUUUUAUUUUAUUGUUAUCGAAUUAUACAGAGAUUGCAUGUUGGAUGUACUCUGGAGAAAGACAAGUAGCUGCGCUGAGAAAAAAGUAUCUUGAAGCUGUUCUGAAACAAGACGUUGGUUUCUUCGACACUGAUGCAAGAACUGGUGACAUUGUCUUCAGUGUCUCUACCGAUACUCUUCUUGUUCAAGACGCCAUUAGCGAGAAGGUAACUAAAAUCUUCUUUUAUUUUAGGGGUUCUUGUGUAUUUGAGGUCGUGUUUAUUAUUACCGGCGGGUCCCAUUUCUAUCCCGAACAAUCUCAAUCAGAGCUUCUUUCCCGUCUACGUUAGCAAUUCGAGUGCACGUUAGCAAACGUUUAGUUAACGUGCGCAUUAAACUUUUCAGGUUGGGAACUUUAUUCAUUACCUGUCGACGUUUUUGGCGGGGCUUGUGGUUGGGUUUGUGUCAGCAUGGAGACUAGCUUUGUUGAGCGUGGCGGUGAUUCCCGGAAUCGCUUUCGCCGGCGGUUUAUACGCUUAUACGCUCACCGGAAUCACUUCCAAGAGCCGUGAGUCUUAUGCUAACGCCGGAGUUAUUGCCGAGCAGGUAAAAAAAGAAGAAUAAAAAUCUUUAACUUUUUCAUAUUUUAAAUCAUUUUUAUUGACCACCACCUGUUCGACGUAAUGCUUUGUACUGUUCUUAGGCUUGCUCUUUGUACUUGAUCCCUCUAAUGAUUAUGUUUCUCUCUCUUCUCUUUCAAUCCAGCAAGGACUUAAACAGUGAUUUUAACUUCAUAAUUAACAUUUUAAUUUUCACUCUUCUUUGGUCAAAUCUUAAGUCAAUCAUUGUCUUUCUCUUCAAAAGUUAUCAAAACAGAGUUUAAUGUUUUUUUUUUUGUGUGUUUGUGUAAUAUUAUUACAGGCAAUUGCUCAAGUUCGAACUGUUUACUCUUAUGUUGGGGAGAGCAAGGCCCUGAGCUCGUAUUCUGAUGCCAUUCAGUACACUCUUAAGCUUGGAUAUAAAGCAGGGAUGGCUAAAGGAUUGGGUUUGGGAUGUACAUAUGGGAUAGCUUGUAUGUCGUGGGCUCUUUAAUCUUCUGUUAGACAAUAAUAUAGGAAUAUUAUAUGAUAUACUAUAACAUAAGCGAGAUGCUUUGCUCGAGAAAAGGGGCGCAGAAACAACCAAACCCACUUAUUUACUAUAUAUUCAUUUAUCUUAUAUAUUAAAAUAGAAAUCAUUGACUUAUGUAUAAUUUUUUUUUUAAAUGAACAUAUUACUAGAAAGUUAUAUUACAUAUAUGUCUAAAUAACUCACUUUCUAAAUUACAGAAACUAAAUAAUAUGUCUAUAACACAAUAUUGCUACAUUAUAUAAACUAAAUAACUAUCAAUUCUUUCUAAGCAAAAAAAAACGUGAUAUGGAAACAACUCAUUUAAUAAAAAAAUACGAUAAAAUUAUUGUAUUUUAAAAAGUGAUAGACACACCUCAUAUAUAUUAUAAUAUAUACCAAUUUAUAAUUGAAAACAAAAUAUUUAUAUAAAAAUAAAUGAAAACAAACACCAGUACGGUUGCGCGGAUCAAGAUUUAGUUUAGUCUUUAUUAUUGUCGUUUGCCACAUGGCCUAUAUUCCUAGUUAGUUAUCUCAUUCUAUUCAAAAAAUUUAUAUUGAUGCUGUAGAUAGCUCAAAAUCAGAUAAUAUACAUAUAAUUGUUAACAAAGUGAUUUGUUAUCCACCUAAAAUGAAUAUCAAGCUUCUUGUUUCAUGUAUCAACAAAAGUUGCUUUCAAAUUCUCAAAACAACAACAAGAUUAGUGUCUUUCUAUUUUUUAAAAUUUUCUUUCUAAACCUAUUAAUCGUCUAACCUAUUAAAAAUCAGUUAAGUUAAUUGUAAAUUUUAGGUACAAUAAACUUUCUCAAUAAAAAUUUGAUUUUUUUCAGAAUCUAAAAUAGCCAAAUCCGAUUGAUAUACAAAAAAUACCCUAACGGGUUUUAGAUCCUUAUACCUAAGUACACGAAAAACUUAAAAUAUCUGAUCCGAACCCAAAUGGAUACCCGUACAUACCUAGUUGAGUCGUAGAACAUUGUAGCUUUUGUUAAACUUAUUUGGUGAAAUGGCAAUAGAGUGAGAUAAUUAUUUUGCAAUUUUCCGUAUUUGUGCAAUACAGUUUGUUCUGGACUACUGGGCCGAGUUUGAUGUGUGCACAUUGAGGUGUCAAUUAGACCCAACCACUCUAGGGCUCAUUACCAAAUAGUCCGCCUUGCAUGAAAUUUUAUCGAUUUUUCUUUCUCAACGAUCAUAGUUAUUUCAUACAUCCAUCAUGUAAAUUAAAAUUAUAUCCACACCAAAGAAAUGCAUAUUCAAUUACAUCCAUAUAUUUAUAAAACUCACACCGAAGCGACUAAAUAACAAAUUGAUCGAAAAAAACCAUUGGAGAAAGUGACUGAUGAUCGAGAGGAAUAUAUAUAUUACAUGGAUGGUAAUAGACAACUCAUGUAUCCGACACGCCCUAAAUAUACUCGUGUUCAGACGAUCUGUUUAUUCCAUGUAUUUAAGUUCGGAUCAUGCACUACGUUUUCAGGCUAAUCUGCUCUAUUACACUAAGUGUAUUUUUUCCGGGACCGACCGGAUAACCAAUAAGUUUAUAAAAAAAAUUUAUCAACACAAUAAAUUAACAUCGAUGAUCAUUUUGUUGGAAGUAAACUUGAGAAUAACUUGAGCGGCAAGAUAUCUAAUCCUAGUUAGAUUUGGAGUUAUCUUAAUAUUGUGUUAAUCCUAAUGCGAUUAGGAUAAGUGUGGGACUAUAUAUAGAUAUGCAAGAGUUUGCAUAAUUAGUGUGUGAGUUUUAUGAGUUUGUGAGUUUGAGGUUUUGAGUGAUUUUCCUCAAGGUGAUUAAUAAGAAGAGUUUCUUAUUGUGUGUUACAUUAUUCGUUCUUGAGACUUGAUUUCUACAUUUGGUAUCAGAGCUUACGGACACGAUCUGGAGCAAACAGAAACAAUGGGAGACCUUAUACCAUAUACGAAACCUAGAGAAGGAUCCUCUCAAAUACAAUGCCCGAUGCUAAACACAACUAACUAUACGGUUUGGGCCAUGAGGAUCAAGGUUUUGUUAAAGGUACAUGAGGUUUGGGAAGCGGUUGAAACCGAGACAGACAACGUCAAAAAGAACAACAUGGCUAUGGCGCUACUUUUCCAAUCAAUACCUGAAACAUUAAUACUACAAGUUGGAGAAUUAGAUACAGCAAAGAAAGUGUGGGAGGCCAUUAAAGUACGACACAUGGGAGCAGAUAGGGUUCGAGAGGCACGCUUACAAACCCUAAGUUCAGAGUUUGAACGACUAAGGAUGAAAGAAACUGACACGAUUGAUGAAUUCGUUGGAAGAUUGGCAGAACUUUCAUCAAAAUCAGCUGCGUUGGGAGAGAAUAUCGAGGAAACCAAACUUGUUAAGAAGUUCCUCAAAAGUCUUCCUAGGAAGAAAUACAUACACAUCGUGGCAUCCUUGGAGCAAGUUCUCGAUCUAAAGACUACAACGUUUGAAGAUAUUGUAGGUCGCAUGAAAGCCUUUGAGGAACGUGUAGCUGAAGAAGAGGAAGAAGAUACACAAGACACCCAAAAAAAGCUGAUGUAUGCAAGCAACGAGUCUCAACACCAGAGUCAAAACAACAAUCGUGAAAACAACAACUACAGAGGACGAGGCAGAGGAGGACGGUUUCAAUACAGAGGAAGAGGUCGUGGGCGCUAUACUUACAACUAUGAUCGCGAUCUCACAAAGAUAACCUGUUUUAGGUGUGAUAAGACCGGUCACUUUGCCAUGGACUGUCCCGAUCGGUUACUAAAGUUGCAGGAAACACAAGAGGCUAAGAAUACGGAGACACAAGAAGCUGAAGAUCUGAUGAUGCAUGAAGUGAUAUUUCUCAACGAAAGAAACAUGAAUCUUCAGGAUUUUGAGACAAACAUGGCAGGAGAAAACACUUGGUACUUGGACAACGGUGCAAGCAACCAUAUGACUGGAAAUCGAAACUAUUUUCGCACUAUUGAUGAGACAAUAACAGGGAAAGUGCGGUUUGGUGACGAUUCACGCAUCGACAUUAAGGAGAAAGGUUCGGU
rnacentral:lncRNA from 1 species